rnacentral:lncRNA from 1 species
AUCUGUACUAAGCAUAAUUCAGGAAGCAUGGCUAAUAGCAAAGUUAGCAUCCUUACUCUCCUCCUAAUCUGCGGUAUGGUUACUGAUCUGUGCACUUUUUUGUAACUUAUAUUGGCUGAAUUUUGACACUUCUAUGAUGGCCAAGUAUUUUAUCAUUGUGAAACAAUAUUGCAAAAAUACUGUAAUAUAGGUCUUAUGAUAUUAGUUAAGCAGUCAUCUGCUGCCCAUUGGUAAAUAUUGUGUGUUUUGAUAAAGAGAAGCAUUGAAGAAGUUGCUUGUGCAUAUAAAGUAUUAAGAUUUUAGAUAAAUUUUUACAUGCAUGCAGUUGAAUUUAUUGAUCAUUUUCUUUCUGGGCAUUUUUUCCUUAAUUAUUAAGUUUUUCCACUGUUAAAUUAAUCUUUUCUUCAUAUGUUUGUGGAUUCUAAAGUGAUGUUGCAAUACUAUAAGUUACGCCAUUAAGUUGUAGCGUGACAUAUACAUGAUUUUAUCUUAACUACGUAUUGAAUUUUCUCGACAAGAUUGAGCUAAACAAUAGGUUUGAUUUCAAUAUUAUGUUUUUCUUUCUAUGAUAGCAUUGUUUUUCUUGGGAAGCAAAGUGCAAUAUGCUGAAGCCCAAAGGAAAAUUUUUACCCACAAGUUUGCCUCAAAGUUGGCUACAUGACUUGCCCAAAAUCUGGUCCUAAGAAGCUUCAUCCGGCUGCACAAACUGUUGCAAAGUAAAGAAGGGCUGCAAACUUUACAGAUCUAAUGGAAGCCUAAUUUGUACUGGAAAGCAAUUGGAUAUGAGAUAAAUCUUAAAUAAAUUGUCAUAUGCUUAUGCUAUAAACAGGCAAAAUAAUAAAUGAAUCUCUUAUAAUAAAUCCAAGAUUCAGGUUUAAUUGUAUUGAUGGACGUUGUUUCUAUGAAAUUAUCCUUUACAUAAUUACUUCUCUAAGUUUUUUGGGCGAGACUUAGUUGUUGUAUAAUCUUUUGUUCAUCUACUAGCUACCCUGGACCUCCUGCAUAAUCAAAAAAUUGUUGUAAAAACAGAAAAUGCACACAGCAUGAUGAGGGACAAUACAAAAAUUCAAUCGAAAUAAUAGAUAUAUGUACCCAUGGAUCUCUUGAGGAUAAAAUUUACCUCUGGCACAUAUGAAUAGAUCAUGACUAGGUGGGGCUUGCUGUUACACCAACUUUAUUCAUAGUCAAAGUCAAAAUUAUUCAUUCAAAGUCAUCAAUUCAUUUGAUCAAAGUCAAAAUCAAAUAAGGACUUGAUUUGAAAAAGAAAUUCUUAUGGGAACUAUUAUAAGCUAGUCGUAUUUGUUGGGACUAAUUGGUAAUUAUAGAAACAAUUAGGUAAGUUUUAAAUGAAACAUACGGGUUAAAUUGCAAACUAUGGCAAAGUGGAGGGCCUCACUAAUGAAUAUAUAAUUAUUUUCCCAUUUAACUUGAGGAGUAGAGAAGACAGAGGGAAAAAAGAAGAAUCGAGGAACGGGAAGAAAAAAAAAAGGAAAGAGAAGAAAAGAAGAAAAAAGGAAGGAAAGAAAAAGAGAAGAAGAAGAAAGAAUGUACUUUUCAUCAUAGGCAAAGAUACGCAAGAGAAACACAACAACAAGAGAUGGCUAAUGCAUAAAACAAUCCGAUUAUUCAAGUGAAUGAAGGUGCAGUGGUCUAUGAAGGAAAUAUGCCAAUUGGGGACUUCAUGACUCCACAAAUUAUUAAGAGCCAAUCUAACAUCGUUUAUCCUCUUUUUGGAUAGCCAAAUUUUAAGUUGAAGACCAAUGCUAUCUAGCUAUUUCAGAAUGGACAUCAAUUUUAUGGCAGAGCCAAUGAAAAUCCACAUAUACACGUAUCUCAAUUUUUGGAGAUGUUUCAACACUUUUAAUAUCAAGGGGUUUCAAAUGAUAUGAUCAGAUUGAGAUUAUUUCCACAUAUUCUACGGGAUAGAGCACUUGAACGGUUAGAUUCAUAGCCUAUUGCAUAUCAAUAUUCGGAAUGACUUAGCUUAAAAAUUAUGCAUCAAAUUCUUUCCACCAGCAAAGAUAUCAAAAUUGAAGCAUGACAUAUCCAUAUUUUGGUAGGGAGAAAUCGAAUCCUUCGAUGAAGAUUGGAACAGAUUCAAGAAUAUGCUUCAAAAAUGUCCUUAUCAUGGCAUUAGUAAAGGGCUUCAGGUCUAAUAUUUUUAUGCAGGUCUACUUUCAUCUUACAAAAGUAUGGUUGACUAAUCAUCCAAUGGCUUCUUAACCACGAAGACAAUUGAUGAAGCAUUGGAGUUGUUUGACAGAGUGGCUACUACUACAGCCACGUGGGUUUUUGAGUGGGUUGUUCAUAAGAAGGCAGGAAGAGUAAAUGAGGUGAACACCAAUAACUGGGUUAUCUGUAAAAAUUGAUUCUUUGGCUCAUAAGGUUAAGAGCAUAUCACAGUCAAUCAAUGUAGUACAAUUCAAGCGGCUAAGUUGUGAAGAAUGUGGGACAUAUCAUAUUAUAGUAGAUUGUCCAAUUCUUGCACAAAAUAUUGAACAUGUUGAAUAUGUACAAGGAGGUCAGCACCAACAAAAUAACCCACAUUCUGAUACAUAUAACUCAGGUUGGAGAAAGUACUCGAAUUUUUCUUGGGGUAAUCAAAAUCCUACUGCAUUGCACGAUUACCAGUAUUAGCAGCCUGAAAAGAGAGUUCUACUAGAAGAAAUGUUUGGAAAAUUUAUAGAAAGGACAGAGCACUAUACAAAGUUAAACAAUCAAUUUAUGAGAAGAACUGAGAUAACCCUUAAAAAUCAAAGUGCUGCAAUCAAGAACCUGAAAACUCAAAUGGGAUGGAUGACACUUGCCAUAUCAAGUAAAGUAGCAGGUACCCUACCGAGCAAUACUAAUACUAACUCCAAGGAGCAAGUAAUGGCUAUAAGUAUUUUAGAGGAUGUAAUAAUUGAGUAUCCCUCUGUGAAAGCAAUUACAACAAAAAAAUGGUGUGUAGUUGCCAAUUAUGAACAAAGUGAAUACAAGAGAUGAGGAGCAAGUGGAUGGUCUAAACAAUCAAUCGAGAAAAUUUUGAAAGAGAAUAGAGGCAAUCCACAAUUUAAAGCACCGAUCCGGUCAGAGAAUAUAGCUCCCAUCUUGUUUCCACAAAGGUUAAAGAAACACAAGCUAGAUAAAUAGUUUGAGGAGUUUUUUAAUGUACUAAAAAAACUCCACAUCAAUAUCCUGUUCAUAGAUGCGAUAAGGCAAAUUUCAAGCUACGCAAAAUUUUUGAAGGAUGUGAUAUCAAAGAAAAAAAAGCUUACGAAAUUUGAAACUGUGGAACUGAUAGAGGAGAGCAGUGCAAUAUUACAAAAUAAACUGCCUCCCAAACUCAAGGAUCUUGGGGUUUUACUUUACCCAUUUCAAUUGGAGAAGCUGGUUCUUUCAAUACUUUAUGUGAUACAGGCACAAGUAUUAAUUUAAUGCCUUUAUAUGUAUUCAAGAAAUUGGGAUAAUGGAAAGCAAAAGAUACAACAAUGUUAUUGUAGCUUGCUGAUAAAAGUAUUAAAUAUCCAAGAGGUAACAUUGAGGAUAUACUCAUCAAGGCUGACAAAUUUAUAUUUCCAGCAAACUUUAUUGUUCUAUACAUAGAAGAAGAUAGAGAUAUUCUAAUAAUCUUGGGACGUCCAUUCUUAACAACUGGUCGAACUUUGAUUGAUAUGGAGAAAUGUGAACUUAUAUUAAGAGUUUAUAGGGAACAAUAAUUUUUAAAAUACACAAUACAUCCAAACAACUAUCAAAUCUCGACUAACUUAAGUGUAUUGAUGAAGAUGAACUAUCCAUUGAACAAAAUUGUCAGAAUAGAAAACCAAAAUUUGGAGGACUUAUUGGUAGAGACAAUAACAGAGAAUUCAUAGUUUAGAGAGAUAAAAGGGGAUGCAAAGCUAGAAAUUGCAAGGAGUACAAGACAAAACAUUUCAAUUUAAAACACCUCAAGGAAAUCACCCCAAAAGUCGAGCUCUAAGUUAUAAAUCGAGCGUUUAAUGGGAAGCAACCUAUUUUUCUAUCACUUUUCACUUAUUUCGAUUAAUUGUUGCAUUACAUGUAGUUUUAGGGAUUGCAUUAAUUUAAUAACUCAAGCAUUUAAAUGAUUUGCUCUGAACACAUUUUAGGUAAUACUUUAAGACUAGCAUCAUUAAUUUAGGCAUGUUUAAGUUUAUUUUUACUUAAACUCAUCGUUAACAUCCUAGCAUUAUAUUAAGCUUACCUUGAUGUGAUAUGCAUUUUCAAGGUUUGCACUUAGACUUCAAUAUCCAACCUAUUUUGAAUGACUUAUCUUUUCCUAGCUAUAGGAUUUUUGUAGGGAUGACACUCUAUCCAAACAUUAUAUGACUAGAAAUUUUUUUGGUGUAAAUUCAUUACAAAUAUUUAAACCUUAUUUGCUAUCACUAAUAUUUAUUUUGAAUGCUUGAAAUAGAAAAUUAAAGCCUAGCAAUAAAGAAAAGUGGCAGUUGUCAUGACUUCUACUAGCUGAGCCAACUUGAUCAUUCUACCUAUCAGCAUCUACUCCGAUGAGUUUCUGAUCCUAACAUCUAUUAUUCUUGCUCCUGCAUUGGAAGUAUUGUAAUAUAAUGCUGUCUAGUUAGAGUUGAAUGACUUGACGCCAAAGAUUAUAUUUAUUUGUUUGAAUUAAGUACAUGUUUAGUUAGAUACUAGACAACACCAUAAUUGUACUUUUACUUGAAAAUUUAUCUAUGUUAGAUUUGAUUAUUUGAGCACAUAGCCAUAUUGAAUUAUUAGUUAUGUUGGGACAUGACUGAAUUAAGUGAAUUUAAUUGUUGAUGGUGUUGAUCUAGGUUUGAAUAAAAUUUUCCAAAUCCUUUAUAGAAACUAAAUGGUUGUAAAUCAGUUUUGGGGCAGGAAGGUUAGUGAUUGUUUUCAUAGAUGUGUGAUGGUUUGGAAUUCUUGGAUCCCAACAUUAGUUGAAGGAGUUUGAGAUAAAGAGUCUAAAAUGGGUAUUGAUCAUCCUUAAAAAAAAAUUCAAAUCUCAUACAUAUGUAACCUCUUUCGUAGCCUUUAUGACUCAAGUGAUUAAGCCUGCUAAGGUCUUUAAAACUUGGUGCCCUAUAAUCGUCUGGUUUGGGAGUCAUAGGUCUAAUGCUCGCUACAUGGGAUCAUUUAGAAAGUUUAAUAGAAAGAAGUUUUACACAUAAGAUAUUAAAAAAAAAGAAUGAAAAGUCAGAUUCUCAUAUUAAAAGAAAAGGUGACAAAUCUUCUACCCCUCAUCGUAAACUUUUUUAAUCGAGUUAUUAAGUCUGGAAGGGGAUUUAAAAUUUUGGUUUCCAUUGUCGUCUUAUUUGGGAGUCAUCGACCUAAAGCUCGCUACAUGCAUUAUUUGGAAAGCUUAAAGGAGAGAAGACUUGUACAGGAGAUGUAAAAAAAAAAAAAAAUGAUCUAAAUAAUCAAAAGUGAGAUGUGCUGGGUGAAGACUUUGAGAUUAACCUCUUGGGAUUAGUAGUGUGACUUUGAGAAACACUUACCAUCUUCUUCCUAGAUUUACAUAUAUGCAAACCUCUUGAGUGAAAAAUGCGUUAUAAUAAUUUUUAGAAACCCAUACGUGCUAGAAGUACCUAGGGCUUUGGGAGAAAAACAUAUGGAUUGAUCAUGCACGAGAGGCAUGAGGAAAAACUAACCACAAGAGGAUUGUGAUUGCGCAUAAAUCAACAUUACUUGAUUAGUUGUGUUCCAGUAUGGGUGUGAGUUCAAUGUUGGCUAGUCAUACACACACUAAGUCGAGCAUCAGAUAAGUAAAAAUCUAUUUUAAUAUUAUUUGGAUCUUUCUAAAGAAUUGCUUAAAUUUGAAUCUAAGGCUUAUGAUAAGCGAUUCAGCGUUGAGUCUUUUAUUUGUGAUUUGUUUGGGUAAGUUAUAUGUAUCAUAUCUAAGUUUUAUUUUAUUUUCUUCGAGGAUGAACAAAUGUUUUAUUUUGGGUUGUUUGAUAAGUAUAUUAUUGUGCACUUAUUUAGGACAUAUUACUAAACUUUUAUGUCAUCAAAUUGUUGAAUUUUAUUUAACUUGGGUUAAUUUUCUUUUAUUUUACUAAUGGACUCAUUUGAAUCAAUUGAAAAGAAAAUAAGCAUUGCUUGGUUGUUAAAUAGAAUUUUGUGGACUAAAUCUCAUUUGAAUAAAAGUUGGAGAAUCAAAAUCGAGGAGAAAAUGAAGGAAGGGUUAAGUUGCAUCACAUGGAAGAAUUGAGUCCUUAGAAGAUAAAUUGCAACUAAUUGGGCCUCAAAAUAAUGAAAAGUGAAAUCUAAUUGGGCCUAAAGUGGAAUUUUAAUUGUAAUUAAAUUGAAUAAUUAAUGGAACGUUGAAUAGAAAUUGCAACUAAUUGCACCUCAAAUUAAUGAAUAGUGAGAAUUUAAUUGGGCAUAAAGUGGAUUUUUAAUUUUAAUUAGUGGAAAUUACACCCACCCUACUUUUGGAGAUGUGAUUUCUCAAAUCAGGUGGGGUGUGUUUUCUUUCAUAAAUCAGAAAUAUAUUUAAUUUAAUUAAUAUAUAUAUGUUCCAACCAUAUCCUGUGAUUAUAGAGUUUUAUUUUGAGAAAACUCUUUAGCUUCCAUAUACUUUGUAACCGCACCCCACGUCCAUAAUAUUACUCCCACGACAUGACCGUAUGAAUCCCUCACCAUCUAUGCCAACGACCCGGCCCUCCGGUGAACUCCCGAAUGCAGCCAACACGCACAUUAUCCUCCCGCCUUGUAACCUCAUUGUACAUGUGUUAUUAUUACUUAGUUGGUGUGUGGGACGUGAGAUUAAUGGCCCGUUCGAAGACCGGAAAUCUGGUGAAGAAAGCCACAGAUUCUUCAGAUGGUAGGGCUAAAAGGAAGGUUGAGGAAUCACAUAAUGUAUUCCUAUCGAAAAGGCACAAAUCUUCCCAGUCGGGCUUGAUGGCUUUUGCAAAAAAGGUAUUUUUGGCUGUAUCAUGUUGAUUUAAUUUGAUUUACAUUCAUGAACCCCUAAAGUUUAUGGGUAUGGAGCAUUUGCUUUUGUGUUUUAAACAUGUAAAGCAUGCUAAGUUCGAUUUGUGAAUUUGUUGUACGGGGUGAUUCCAUUUAUGUCGUACAAGUUUCUCGUGAACACGUUGGCUGUCGUACUACUGCAGGUCAUGGGUCUUAUGCAUACUCAACUAUUAAAGUUGUUUUUUGAUCGACCGAAUGAUGAAGAAUUGCAUAUGCAAUGUCCCUAAUCCAUGUGUGCCCAAUUUUUUUUUUUUCAUUCAUCUGUGACCAAUAUACAAUUUGGAUAUCAAUGCGUAACUUUGUAUCCGUGUGACCUGUAAAUUGGUUACUACUGUACUCACUUAUGUGACCAACUAGUUUACUUCUUCAUGCUGCUAUCAUGCAUAUUCGGAGAUAUGUCUCAUAAAAUGGACCUUGUUGCCUUGUGUAUUAUGAUUUUAGUACUUUACACGUGUGACAUUUGUCACUGAUUUUUCUCGUCAGCAUGUAGGUUUGGAGCCUUAUUAUACCAAAGAAUCGUUGGUUCCCUGGAAAAAUCAUUGUUAUUCCUACCAAGCGGGUGCUGACCAAGUUCCAAUAAAAUCUUAACGAGGCACAACAGAACAUACUUCGUAACACAUGUUUCGGUCACUUUUUGGAUUGUCACGAAAUCGUUGUUCAAUCUCAGUUGAUUCAUUAUUUCCUGUUGAGGCAUGUUCGACAAUCAACGAGAAUGAAUUGUGGUUUGACAUCGUAGGGAGAUUUGUUAGAUUCUUUGUGACUAAAUUUUGUUUGGUUUCUGGACUCUGAUAUUCUGGCAACGACGAUACAAGUAGGUUCGAGAAGUCACCGUCAAUCUUGAAAGAAAAGUAUUUCAGUACCUUGAAGGCCGUCACACACGAAGAUGUCAAGGACGUGUUUCUUGCUGCAAGGGACAUUCCAGAUGAGGACGUUUCUAGACUUGCGGAAUUCUCUCCCAUCUCAUGAAGCAUAUUGGAGUCUAAAAAAAAGACUUAGGUGCUUAUUCGGAUGAAUCCAUGGAGUUGGAGGUGCUGCUAGACUUCUCACUUCUGCAGCAAAAAAAUGGGUACAUUUGUGACCACAAUUUUUCAUCUCAAAGAAGUAGAUAAUGGUAAUCUCGUACCUAAUUACCUCUUUCUUCUUUUUCACUCAUGACUACGGCAUUUAUGUGAUCAAGUAUGUUGAGUAUAUGUUGAUUUGAUGCUGGUAGAGCACAUCUAGAUAUAGCUUUGUUGCUAUACAAACAUUGUGAAAUCAGGAAGGAAGGGAACAAAGUGCAUCAGACUAGGGGUAAAAGCAUAGUUAUUGAGUGAUAGUUGUUUAUCCUUUCUACUAAUUAUUUUUGGAUAUGUAUUCAGAUCUAGUCAUUAAUUUUUGUUGGAUGGUAGAUAUAUUUCCGUGGAUAGUAGUUUGUAAUGAAUACAGUUUGCUUGCUUCUUGGUUGUGUUUAUGUAAUUUGCAGUGAUGAGAUUGAAAAUUUUGAAUCUAUAUUGAUUGAGCAUUGUAGUUCUGGUAUGUGCGUAAUGUUUAAAUUAGAUGUCACUGGUAUUCUUAAAUAGUCACAGGAGUGUCGACACUGUUACAACACAUUUGAAAUAUGAGUCUUACACCGUUAAAGGUUUUUGUUCAUGGUUGCCGUACAAGUCACAUAUGGAAAUAGUAGUUUCGUACGCUGCUAUACAUGUUUGCUUUUCAGGUCACAUAUUUCAAUAUAAACUUGUAUACACAAUAGGUAACCGUUGUGUUGUUGAAAGUUACAAUAUUAUAUCUACGAGAUAAAUAUAGGUCACAUUUAUUUACCAAUGGUCUCAAAACCUUUCAUUUCACAUGUCACAAUAUUCUUAUCGAUAGUCACAUGGUAAAUUCUUACAACAUUGUAGGUCUCAUAUGUCCGUUUAUUUGGUCACAACGUGUUUUCAUUGGGUCAUAUAUUGAGAGUGUUAUAACAUAUGUAACAGAGAUUUCUCAUAUGUCACAUUAAAUUAUCAUUUCCAUUUACGAGAUACCACUUAAUUCCUUUACCUCAUAGGUCACAAAUUCAUUGUAUGAAGUCACAGAUUCACUUGUGCCCGACAUUAUAGGUCACGGAUGUCUGUCUUCUUUGUCACAUCAUUUCUGUCAUAGAUAUAUAGCCUCACAAGACGUCACAAUAUGUGACAUUACACUAUCAUGUGAAACAUGAACGAGAAUUCACUAAUUUCGUUCACUGCACAGGUCACGGUUUCUAUUGUCCGAAGUCACAGGUUAAUGUGCGGGAGAUCAUUACAGGUCACAGAUUUUUUCUAUUAUUUUCUCACAGUAUUUUCGUCACUCGGCCAGGUCUGUUGUGUGUCUCUACACAUGUCACAGAUUAUUGACAUAUGUCCUAUUACCAUUUCACGUACAUUAACGAGAAGUCACUGAUUGGUCUGUGACUGUCACAUAACAAUUUCAGCGCUUGCAAGAAUGGUCAUAGAUGUUUGUAAAUUUGACAAUAGCUUGUCACAUACAAUUGUUCACUUGUCACAUGAUAUUGGUGCAUGUCAAAAUAAAACAUAAACUUCUUCAUCGGCCAUAUAGUAUUGACAACACCAAUACACGAAUAAUCAUUUAUUAUGAAUGUCAUAUAACAAAGAUCGAUGAUUCAAAAUAUUAAAAAAUCAGUCCAUAUUGAUCAAUUCGCAACACCAGUUGUCUUUCUUUUCCUUUGUUUCCUUUCUCUUGGCUUUGACUUAAUGGAACUAAGUUGUUGUAGGUGCGGCGGUUGUGACCACGUUCACCACAACGUUCACAUUUGAUAAUUAUGGUUUGUUCACAUGAUGAUCUAAAUCUCUUUUCUGUAGGCCUUCCACAAUUGCGCUUUUGAUUGGGUGCCAAAAUAACCAUUUCUCGAAAAUCUUCUGGCAUGGUCCAUUCAGUUGGAUUCUCAACAGGAAAGAUUACUUCUUGGUAAGUUUUCUUGUAUGAUUCUGCUGUGUAAUAGUAUAAAUAGUACUCAUUUGGAUCCAUCUUCAUACUAGCAAUCACAGCCAAUGAGUGUGGACACGGAAGUUGAUCAAUUCAAAGCAUUCGACAUGUGCAUGUAUGCUGUUCUAUAUCGAAAACGAAAGAUGAACUGUCACCACUAACGCAAAAUAUUGCCUAGGUGAUAGGACUGACCUACAAUUAAUUAAGAAAGUUAUAUCUGUAAAAUGUUAUAUUUAACAAAAAAUCACAGACAAUGUAAACCAUGCGAUACACUACGCAAUUUAAUAGUUAUACAAACGGAGAUUAGUUAUUGCAAAAGACAUUACCUUUAAGUUCCUAAUAUCUGUGUUCAUUUCUCGUAACUGCCUCUGUACUUGCUUGACAACUUUGUGAACGUACCAUAUGCAGUAUCUCUAUGUUUACAGAACCAAGACUGUAUUGUUUGUCGCAAUGACUCCAGCAAUGCUAUAAUUGGGUAGUUCUUGGCAGACUUUAUGAUUGCAUUAAACGACUCUACUAUAUUUGAGGUUAUUGUGGAAUACCUAUUUGUGGGCAUGUGAUAUUGUGACCAUUUCUUAGGUCCAACGUCAUCCUACAAAAUAAAGACAUGACGAUGCAUAUAAUAUUUUUUCACAGUAGGGAAAAUGUUUGGAUACCAAUAUAGAUUGCAGAUAAUAUGUAUUUCAUAUGCCAAGUAAUCUGUUAUGUUCUCAUUAAUUGCAGCAAGCUGUUGCAUGUGAUAUUCGUAUUCCGACAAUGUGUAAGCUCGAACGGCUGCAUUGAACAACUGCGCUAUGUUGUGACUUGAUUUUUCGUAACGUGUUUUAAGAUUCUGUAGGAGAUGAUAUGAACAAAUCCCAUGAUAUGUUCCUGGAUAGACUUUUUCAAUGGCAUUUUUAAUAUUGUUGUGAUGAUCUGAAACAAAACAUAGCCUUUCUCUACUUCCGUAAGCUCGCUUCAAUUCUUGUAGAAACCCUAUCCAAGAACUAUCAUUCUCAUUAUCCCCAUUUCGAAAGCAAGAAUAAAUAUGUUGUUGUUUGCAUCUUGGGUACAAGCUGUGAAUAGGGUCCUACCAUAAUGUCCAUUCAGAUAUGUCCCGUCUACCACAACAACAGGCCUACAAUGUUCCCAUCCACGGAUUACUGUGACUAUCAAACUCUAUUCUUGUGACCAUCCCUUGAUUUGUUUGAUGCAGCAUAGUAAAGAAUCUCUGUAUCUUGCCAAAUGAUUUCGUUGGAUCAUCCCUAAUCAUUCUUAAAGUCUCCUCGCGAGAUCUCCAAGCCUUCACAUAGUUCAAAGACGCUCCAUAAGUAUGCAACAUAUCAUUUUGUAUAUCAUUUAGAGUGUAUAUAGUGCGCGAUGAUAUGUAUUUGUAUUUAAUACAGAAGGACACAAUCGAUUUUGUUACUUACCUGUGAUACCCCAGAACAAUAUUCGAUGCACAUGUGUGUCCGUCUACAAUAUGUCUUAUUUUAAAUAUCUCUAUUUUUCCUAGCUUCGAUGAUCUACAGAUCCAGUUAUACUCGUCACGUGAACACUUUAUAAGGUAGUAUUUCUUGUCGGAUCGAACAACAUAUUCAAACAUAUUAUGGAUUGCUUAAAAGGACAAGCUCAGAUUCAAAUCCUCCUUGUUACGGAGAACCCGUCCUUUCUGGACAUCCCUACCAUCUGCGAUCGAUACAACUGUGACCUCAUGUUCGAAACUGUCACAUGCUAGAUGUUAUAUUGCUCCACAUAUAUCUAAUGACAUUUCAAGCAACGAAAACUCAUGUUCAUUAUACUAUACACCACUUGGUACCGUGAAUUGAUGUUUCCCCAUUUCUGCUUCUGUGGCCUCAAUGCUAAUGGGAUAUUUGGAAGCGCCACGAUCCAAAUCUUUCAACGCCAUAUAUGACAACAUGUUACCGUCACUUUUGAUUAUGAUCUUAGGUAGGUCACUCUGCAACACAUAUUUCAUUGUCACUGCCACAUUGGUGGGAUCCAAUCCAAAUUUCGUCAUGACAGUAUCUACGAGCUUUGCAUACUCGCAAUUACGAUCAACCAAAACCAAUGAAACUUGCGAUCCAUUCAAUAAACAGAUGUGGAUGUACACCAUUUAUGUGAAGUCAAAUUCACCAAUUUUAGUUAAAAUUCUUAAUUCACGUCAAAAUAAAUGCUAAAUCACUCAAUUGCAAACGAGAUGGAAAAAAUAAGCUUUGAUUUGCAUGUAUGCCAUGUUUAAUGCCUGUUAUCGUGUCUAUUGUACGUCAUAGAUUUUUUGGAUACCUUUUCACAAUAAUUGUUGCAUACAUUACAACAAUAUGUUUGUCCUUAGUUGCAGAUGUAUGCUGUCACACCACAUAUCAUAGAGUUUUCACUUACAUCACAUUAAACUAUCUACGUUAUGUAUUUCUCAUGCGAUAUCAUGAUAGGUCAUUAUUUUUUAUCAGAUAAAUGCAUGGGAGGUCACAACUCCAUAUCGAGACACGUGACAAACAUAGAUCGAAAUAAUUUAUAUGCAUUUUCAGAUCAGUUCACGAACUAAAUCGUACCACCUUCGAAGUCACAGCCUUUUACGUGAAUGCGAUUUUUAGGACAGCAUGGCGUAUACAGGCUUCUCGAUUACAUAUAAUGUUUACGGUAUAACAGAAGGGUGGACAGUGUUUCAUUACAUUAAAUUUGUACCUUCAUACUGGAAAUCCUGAUAUUUUAACACAUGACCACCAUACUGCAUAGGCAGAAAUCGUUAAUGUAAAGGUAGAAAUCGUUAAUGUAAAGAUGACAAAUGGGAUUUCAUUGAUUUAGCUUUACAUACCGAUCAACGUUUUUAUUCAGACUGAUAGAAUCAAUUUGAAGCUGUGACAGUUUUCGAAUAUGUUGUCGAUCUAGGCAAUAAUUCGACGGUUUCAAUGGUUUUCUAACCCAUUUCAGAAUCGCUCCAGCAGUUUACUUGAGUUCGGAUUGCUCCUGCUACUGAAGGCAACCUGUGGAGUUCCAACUGCUACCGUCGUGGUUUGAGAGAUAGAAAAUAAUUUAGACAUUGUGUCAAUUAUCGUAGAGAUGGAAUAGAAAUAUACAUUUAUGCUUUAUGUGAUCUUUAAGUGUUCACAAAUUCAUUAAUACAUUUUUAUAUGUUUACAUCCAUCAUAGAAAUAAAGGUGGGUCACAUAUAAAUAUGGGUUUAAUUCUACUUGAGAGAGAUUGUUAAACAAAUUAGAAAUAUUGGUCUUCAUAAUUGAGCCGUGUUGUCAAAUUUAUAAAUUUAGAUUUAUAUAUUUUUCAUCAUUAUAUUUUUCUAAAAUUUGCAUUUAAUUUAAGUAUUGGAUUUAGUUUAAUCAAUUUAGGUCUUGCAUUUAUAAGUAUAUUAUUAUUUAAUUUAGUUAGAAAAAAAUUACAACUUUCAAUUGUUUCGAUUAAAGCUAAGUUAAUUUGAACUUGAAAUAAAUUGAUUUCUGUGGGAACUAUACUUGGACUCAAAAAAAUUCAUUUUACUAUUUGUUAAUGAACCGUACACUUGCGAAAUUUUAAAUCAAAAUAAUAUUUUCGUGCAUCGAUGAAUAAUGUGGUUAUCCUAUUUCCAUUUGUUAAUUUCAUACUGUCUCUUGCUCUCUUUUGGUUUCUGUUAUUCAAGUUAGGAGUAAAACAAAGUAAUGUCUGUUUGGUAGAUUUUGGAGUUGCAUUAGACAAAACCAUCGCGUUGUAACAAUUGGAAGGUAAAAAAGUAAUGGGGGGGUAUCAUGACUAUUUCUUGGGUAAUGAUGUUGCUUGAAGCUCUUAAUGAUUAUGGAUGUUGGUGUAGAUGUUUUUAUUUUUGCAACCUCUUUACUAUGUAUGUUAUUGGAAAGCUGCAUUUGAAAUUUUCUUUACACCUAUUUGUAGGAAAACCCAAAGUAUGAAAAGUUCAAAGACAAUGAUAACAACAAAAUUUACCACAAUUACAGCAAACUAUUUAGUAAUAGUUAUGGUUCCACGAAUUAUGCUUUAACUUCGACUAAAUUAUCGUAGCACGAUUUUAAUUUUCGCUUGGACAGCGAUACGAAUGGUCCAAAUGACAAGUUGCUCAUCAACGUUGAGAUAGUAGAUUCAAGUGCGGGGCCUACAAAGGGCAGAGAAAACUUGUUUGGCGAGAAGCGUGAAGAAAAGAAAGCGAAUGGAAAGGGAAAGAAGAAGAAGUUUGAUGCAAAAGCAGAGAAGUUCUAGAGUUUGUAGAUAACUCAGCAUCUACAUUAAGGAAAUUCGCCUUGGUCAUUCGGUCUAGAGACAAGGGUGGAAUGAUGAUUCUCGAGUGCUUCAAUGACUUGCUUUUGAAUGGCCUCGUCGAAGUUGGUGGUCAGCUACUUUUGUUUGUUCUAUGGUUCUUUUGGGACUCUGACAAUCAAAUUGAUUACAGUGCCGCUCAAACAACGGAACUUAGAAUGGUCAAAAGAAUGCCCCACGUGCCUAUACUUGAGCAAAAAUAGGUAACUUCUCAUGUAUCACAUACUUUCAAAAAUAGCAAUUAUCUUCAAAUUCAUCUAGACCUUGUCAAGUAGUUUGAGCUCUAGGCUUAACUCUACAUAAAUCAUAGCCUCACAAAGUCUAUAGAGAUUAAAGAUGGACUUAUCAAUCUUUAUGGGUAACCUAAUAGGUUUGGAUAAAGCAAGCAAAAAGCUUUUAACACAUAAGUGCAAAGGCAGUAACGAAAAAAAAAUCUACAAUGGAGUAUAUAUACAACCUUAAUUAUAAUGUUUUAGAUGGAAUGCGUAUCUUAAAAUUUGUCAAAGUUGAAUAUACACCUAGGUCAGAAAACAUAGCAGUUUGAUGUUCCUUGCGUGAAGUGAGCAGCAAGACUAGUGCUCAAAUGCCAAACUUGUGGGCAACAAGCGAUAGACAUCUUGUUCUAAGCACUCGAAUAGGAGAUGAGCACUUAACAAGAAAAAAUGUGGCGACUUCUUCUCCUUAGUCCAUCUUUAAACCUCUUCAAAGCCACUUCAACCAAACAACCAAUAUUCAAUGGAAUAUGGGUCACAAUUCGACAAAUCUCUACAUUGAUACAGAUUUCUAUACAAGGAAUUACUGUUCACUCAUUAACAAACAUUUCCCUACCUCUUCCACACUAGCCCCUAAAGACCAAUUCAACAAAAAAAUAUCAAUCAAGUCCAAGAAAUACUCACACUUGGCCACAUUGAAUGCCUUUGUCAAUAUGUCAGCUAAAUUCUCCUUGGUAUCAACUUUGCUCACUACAAUAUUACCACGAGUAAUCACAUCACACAAAAAUGACACCUCACAUAAAUUUACUUUGUCCUCUCAUGAAAUAUCAGAUCAUUUGUUAGAAAAUUAACACUAUAACCAUCACAAAAUAAAUAAAUAAAUAUAAUUGUAGAUAUCUACUAGUCUUUACUAAUUUUACCCAACAAUCUCCUCAUCUGCAUAACCUCCUGACGAGCCUGUGUAAUAGCCAUAUACUCUGCCUGUGUAGUAGAUAAGGCUACCACAUUUUGUAAAGUAGCCUUCCAAGUAACAGCAGAACCACCAUUGGUAAACACGUACCCUCUAUGAGAUCUCCUACAAAAUAUGAAUUAACAUACCUAAUAACUCCAUAUGUAUUUUUUUCCAAAAUGAAAACAAGCAUUAAUAAAGCUACACUGGUAUCUGAAAAUCUACUGCAUUGAUUUCUAAUCUUCAUGUACAGGAUUUUCCAUGUAAGAUAUUAACUUUACUAAAUGCCUGUGCUAAAUCUGGGUGUAUACAAAGCAUAACAUACAUAAGCGAUCCAACUGCACUUGAAUAAAAAAUAUGUGUCAUGCAAUCGAUAUCCUCACUGAUUAUGGGCACAAAACAAAUGACAGUUUAGAGUGGGUAGCAAAAGGGAUACUGACAUUCUCUGCAUUCAACAUAUAAAACCUUUAGAGUGUUCUCUUAAGGUACAAUUUCUGGCUCAAGUAUAAUCUAGCAUCGUUUCUUCUCUCGAGAUCUCCAUUCAAAGUAUAUUCUCCAAUGCACCCAAGUCUUUCAUAUCUAUUUUUUUUUAUUGAGUUAAACUUUUACUUCAUUACCUCUACUUUAUUCUGGAUAGCUAUCAACAUAUCAUCAACAUAAAGUAGUAGAUAUAUAAAAAAUCCAUCAUCACACUUCCUAAAGUAUACAUCACUAUCAUAACUACUUCUUUUAAUGUUAUAAAUAUUCAUGAAUGAGUUAAACCUUUUAUAUCAUUGCCUCAGUGACUGAUUCAGAUCAUAAAAGGACUUCUUUAAUGAACAUACAUAGUCUUCAUUUCUUGUGACAAAAAAUCCCACUGGCUAUUCUAUAUAGAUGUCUUCCUCAAGUUCUCUAUGUAAGAGUAUUAUUUUCACAUCCUAUUUUUCAAGCUUCAAAUCAUUAUUGGUCAAAAUACCAAGUUAAUCUUUAAUUCAGCUAUACUUUACUAUUGGGAAAAAUAUAUCUAUGAAGUCUACACCUAGAAUCUCUAAAACCCUUAGCCAAUAAUCUUGCCUUGUACCUGGUGUUUAAGAAUUCUGAUGCACAUUCCACACUCCUUUCAAAUGCCAGUUUACAACAAACAACUUUCUUUUCCUUUGAUAAUUUCACUAAGUCCCAUUUGCCAUUUUUAUGAAGAGAUUCCAACUCUUCUUGCAUAGUAAAAAUUCCCCUGCCAUAAUCAUUGCAACUCACUACUUCAGUGUAUGUAAUAGGCUCUUCACUAGAAUCAAUAUUUUUAGCCACAAUCAAUGCUACCAGUUAGCUUUCCCAUACUUUUGUUGAGGUCUAAUCACCUUCUAGGUCUAUCUUUAACAAAAGAAUACUGCAAUGGUGGUUGCAAAAAAGUACUCUCCUUCACUUUUGAAUUAGACUAAGAUGAAAACUCUCAUUUAGAAACUAAACUAACUUCAACUCUGCCUACGUAAUUUCUUUUUACUAAUUUGUAUUACCAGAAUCUCUAAGAGAUAAACUGAACCAUUGCAUUUUAACUUAACAUAACGUCUCUACUAAUCACAACCUUAUAUGUUUCUGAACACUAGAGAUUAUAUCCUUUAACACUAGAUUUAUAACUAAGAAAAACAUACUGUCUAGAUUUGCCCCCAACUUUUCAUUAUUCACAUGAGCAUAAGUAAGGCAACUAAAUAUUUUUGAAUCUGAGUUACUAAGGGGAGACAUAGACCAUACAUCGUCUGUGUCAUUUUCCCAAUAAUAAUUGAGGGUGAGGGGUUGGUAAUAAAUCAAGUUGUAGAAGCAGCUUUCAACCAAGAUUGUCAGGUCCUUAGAUCUUUAUCCGAGAUAUUUAGGUCAAAAAUUGUAGCUAUAGAGGAGAGUAAGGACUAGAUGCUAUUAAGGUUGAAGAGUUGGUUACAUCUCUACAGACCUAUGUACUAACAUUAGCUAAACUUACAAAAGAUAAGUUUUGGCCUUGAACAUUCUUAGGGAUAACAUUAAUGAGGAUUCUGAUUCAGACUCACCCAAUAAUGAUAUAGCUUGUUUUGCUAAAAAAUUUUGGAAAAUGUUUACAAAGAAGAUAAAGCCUCAAGAGAGACAGAGAGGUGAUCCCAGUGAGUCUAGAAAGAGAUCUCAAUAUGUGAGAUGUCAUAAGUGUCAAGGUUUUGACCAUUAUAUGAGUGAGAGCCCUAACAUUAAGAGAAAUAAGGAUAAAGCUAUGAAUGUUACACUCACUCAUGAUGAGUCUAAAUCUGAUAUUCAAAGUAAGAGGUUCACUUAGGAUGAGAAUGGAAAAUAAAUGGCCUUCACUGUUAAGAGUAGGAGUAAAUCUUAUAAUGAGAGUGAGAAGGUUGAGGAUGCAGAUAGUGGUAAGCAAUCCUAGGAAGAUUAUAAAGAUUAGGAAGACAUAAAUGAGUUUAUGAUAUAUUAUAUAAAAAGAGCCUAAGGAUAUUGACUACCAAUAAAGCCUUAUGUAUGAAGGUCAAAGAUCUCGAGCUAGAGAAUGAAAAACUAAUAGCUGACCUUUAGGAAUCUACCUUAUCUCUAAGUAAGUUGAACUCUGUGAAUGAAUUCUUAGAUACUCAAUGUAAGAAUCUUAUUAGUGAUCUUGAAGAGUCCUCUGGGAGACUUAAUGAGUUGAGCAUUGUGAAUGAGUCUUUAGAAAACAUGGUUAAGACAUUUUAUGAGUGAUCUUGAUGAUUCCAACACCCAACUCCUUGCAUUCUCUAGUGGUUUAUUGAAGCUUGAUAGCAUCUUAGGAAUGAGUAAGCCUACUGGUAAUAAGGGAAGUUUAGGAUAUAAGGAGAAUGAUCACAAUACUUCUAGUACUUCCAAGACCAUUGUUGUCCCUAUCAUUAACCAACCUAAGUACAUUCCUAACCCUGAACCUAAGAAAAAGUAAAUCGUAAGACAAAGGCCUACUAGAUAGCGUAGGACCUACCAACCUAGGAAUAAAAAUCAAUGACCACAUAACCUUGGUCCUAGAUUUAUCCAUACUUCAAUUGUGUUGAGUUAGAACAUAUAAGGCCUAGGUGUCAUAAAUUCCUGAGCAGAAAUAGAAUAAGAACUUCAAUAGAUAUAAAAAAAAGAGGAUUUUAAUGGCUGAAUUGACUUCUUCACUAAUCAGGUGAGUCAAUUAACUGAGCUAAUGACACAGUUAACUAGGAUUAAUUCUUCAACUAGGCAAGUUUAGGCAAAGAGGAGUGAUCCAAAAAUUCUUAAAUGGAUCACCCUGCUCUUAAAGGUAAGAGAGUUUAUAUACCUAACUGAUUAGGUAUUUCUGGUGCAUGCUUGUGUGUAUUCAUUGCAAUUCAUUCACUGUUACAUACAUCUCAUUUUUGUAUUUGCUUUAUAGGUAGUAAGUCCAUGUAUGUGCAUCUUCAUCAGGUUUGUAUUGGCACAAGCAUUUUUAUUUUUUUAUUUUUGUAUUGCAUGUUGAAUAUUUUUAAUUUUUUAGUUUGUGUGGUUAGAGCAUUUAUUUAAAAAAGGGUAAAGUUUUUAAAACUACAACAUGAUAUAUGAUAUACUUGAAUUUGUGCAAUGUGACCAACUAUGAGUUUAAUUGAUGUGUUGUAGCAUACUUUUCAUUAUUUUCUUAGAUUUUGAUACAGUAAUUGGUCUAGGUUUUUCAUGCACCAUCUAUACUGCACACACUAUGAUAUUGCGAGUGGGACUUGACCGCGUGUAUGAGAUUUGAUAUGGUAGUUUCAUGUUGGUAUGAUGACUUUGAACAUGAAUUGACCUUAUUUUAUUAGACCUAAGAUCAAGUGUAUUCCCUUGAAAGAAAAAGAUCAGUAUCUUAUGCCCUUUUUCGGAGUUUAUUCAACUUGAACAAUUAAAGCUGAGGGGUUUCUCAUAACAUAGUGCCUAUAAUCAACUGACUUGGGUUAAUAUAUAUAUAUAUAUAUAGGUCAUAAUAUGCUAUUAUUUGUUUAACUUUCAUAAGUAGAGGGAUGAGCUUAUUGACAGAGAUGUUUAGAAUGUCUUUUCUCACAAAAUUAAGAUUUGGAGUCCUAUUUACAAAGUAUUAGUAACACUCUACAUACAUGGGGUGACUUAUACAAUUUACUCCAUUUUAACUUGAAUUGAGUAUGUGGAAAAAUGUAUUGAUCAUUAAUUAUGCUUGUGAAUUCUAUCAACUGCAUCUUUGAGUUAUUAUAUAUUAAUGUUCAUGUGUAUUUGAUAUAAUUCCCUUAAUCAUUUGACAAAAAAAGGGCGAAAAAGAUUCGAUGGUAAUUUUGAGUUAAGAGUUAGAUGCAUUUUAGGGAGAGCUUGCAGUAGGGGGGGGGGGGGGGGGGGGGGGGGGAAGAUGAUAGUAUCUUUUAUUCAUGGCAUUCCAUAUCAUAAUGCAUAGCUUCUUUGAAUUUUGAUGUUUGUUGAUGUUAAUGUUUCAAUUGGUGUUUUGAUUAACACUAGUAUUACUUCUCAAUCUAGCCAGCAUAUUUAUGAUUGUAGGUUUCAAUUGUUAUAUUUCCUUUAUCAUAUGCUUUUACACUUGGAAUGUGAAUUGUUGAUUUCAGGAAACAGGUUAAUAAGGAAUGUAAGAGAUAAACAUUCAGUUUUGCUUUGGAUAGAUUAGUUUUUAUUUUUUUUCCUUGACUUGUAUUGUAUUUUGUCACAGAAUGCCGAAGAGGAGAUUGUUAGGAUUUAUGUUGUAUUGGCAAUUUUGUAGACAAAAUAAAAUCUUAGUUAAAUUGCAUUAGGAGUUUACUGAGUUGUGAUCAAAGUCAAUCAAAGUCGAAAUAGGAGUUAUUGAAUCAUAAUUAAAGUCAAAAGGGUUGAGAUUAGUAGUAUGGUACUUAAAGGAGUCCAAGAUAUCAAAGAAGAUCACGUGUGAUCAGGGAAAUACAAUUAGAAGUCUAAAGAGUUUUAAAGAGCAGCAAAAGUUAUGUUUUAAAUUUUCACUCAUAAUUUGUAACACAUUUUUCACAUAGAAAACAUUAUAAUUUGAACAAGGCUAUUUAAUAGAAUUGUAGCCCUUUGAGUUAGCUUUUCGUCGUAUUUUGAAUCGACUCAAACAGACGUUGGAAGAGAAAGUUAUUAUAAAAAUACUGACAACUGCUCAGCAGUUGCUCACUUGUCUAGAGUUCGAGCAACAGUGUUACAUGUGUAGCCUUAUUUCGCAUUUUUCAAGUGUUUUAUCUGGCCCAUACUACUUGAUUAUCUCUUACUAUAAAUACCCAAGCCCUUAUAUAUUUUGUGUGUGGUUGUUCAUUUAUUACUUUUUCAUAAUAUCACUCCAAGAUCCAAGAAUAAGAUUACUGAAGAUUGAGGGAGGUCACACCAAAAGAACGGAAGAGUACAAAAUAAGGUGUUCUUGAUGAUGUACAGGAGAUAGAAGAUUUCAGAAAAUCAUAAACAGAUGUGAGUGAAGCACAAUAUCAAAAGAUCGGGAGAUUAUUAGCUUGGUCCUGAAGUUUUUACUCAGUUAAGUUUUCUCCGUCGACAUAUUUUGUGUUGUUUAUCACUUUCAUACCAUUCAUUGUGGUAUUCAAACUAUAGAAUAAUCUGAUAUGAUUAAUUAACUAUCUAGAAACAAUUAAAAGUGACUUGCUUCUUUUAAUUGUAUAAUUCCUCACAUUGUGUCAAAACAAAUUAGCUAAAUGUAAACUUUCAAGCCGUAUAAGAGCUUUUCACUCACGGAAAUGAUAUUUAUACUCAUUUUACAAUAUUAUUUGUUAGUGCUCUAGUACACUUGUUUGACUUGACAUAGCAUUGUCCAAUAUAUUUUAAAAGCAGUAAAUAUAAUAGCGGGAAAAUUAUUUUUCCCUCAUUUCAACACACACAAAUAGAUGAAAAUUAUUAUAAAGGAUGAGAAGUACAAAUUAAUAACGGUUUAAAGAAAAGAACUCGACGAAAAAAAGAUAGGAAAUAAGUUCUACAAUGAGUAAUGAUCGAAUAAUUUAAAUGAAAUCAAAGUGUGAUGUAACAAGUAAAAAUACAAUGUAAAUAUAAUUAUCUGGUUUAGUAUCGUUUGAAAAUUUUUGGAUUCAAUUUUGUUAUGGAGCCAUGGCAAAAAAUAUUAUUUAGUUGUUGGAGGUUGUUAAGUUAUUUACAAUCAAAUUGAAAGUUUCCAGUAUUGCUUAUUUGGCAAUAAAUUUUUUUCUCACCUGUUCCACGUAGCUAUGACUAUGCUUCUACGUUAUGAAAGUAUUAAAAUUAAAAGGAAAAAAAUGUUAACAUCAUUGUUCUACCAAGUACCAGCCACAUGCUUUCUAGCAACUCACACCACCAAGCCCUGCUAGUCUACUACUAAAAAUUCCAAAUACAUACCACUUUUCGACAAGAUCAUGUGCCUUAGCCUUACAUAUUACGAAUAGAAACACAAAUUGCUCGUAAUGAAGAAUAUAACAAAAUAAAAAAAAAAUAAGAUGAAGAAGCUAAAAUGAGAGGAUAUUCUAGGAAAUGUUGACAUCCCAAAUGCUGAUUUUCGAGGAACAAUAAAUCUCUAAAAACUAAAAAUACAUUUACAGAAAUAAUUGACCCCCCUUUCUUCAUUCUUUAUUUGAAUUUAAAUAUGAAAAUAUUGUACCAAUUAUCUUCUAAAAUCAAUAACCAUUUCAAAAAUAAGAAAAUAUAAAAUUAAAACCUGAAAAUAAAGAAUUAAAAUAAAUUACAAAUAUAGAAAUGUAUUAUCUUCUUUCUCCGAGAGUUUUGCAAUUCACCACAAUUGCAAGAAAAUAGAAAAUCUAUUUGAUCAAAACUGAUAAAAGACCCAGAGCCAAAAAUAAAAAAGUAAAAAUAAAAAAAAACAAAAAAAAAAACAAAAAGAAAAACAAAAUAAACAAAAUAAAAUAAAAUAAAAUAUAUGCAAUUAGAAGUUCAAUCGUUCAUCCAAGCAUUUUAUUUGAUAUCACUUGAUAAAAAAAAAAAAAAAUUAAAUAAAUUGUUAUCCAACACUUUGUUAGGUAUAUCAUACGAAGUUAGAUAAUCUUUAAUUUCCUGGAUUAAUAUGUUAUUGAAAGUUCAAUUGGUUUUUGCUUACGGACCAUGCAUGGACUUUCACUUUAUAUAUGAAAAAGUCAUCACCUAAUAAUACUAUUUUUCCCCAUAAAUAAUUUGAAAAAAAUAUGCACUAAGCAUAAUUCGAGAAGCAUGGCUAAUACCAAAUUCGGCAUCCUUACUAUCUUUUUAAUCUGUGGUAGUUAAGCAUUCGUCUGUAGGGGUAGACGCAGACAUUUUGAAUUAGGGAGCACAAUUAAACCUUAUAUAAAUUGAAUAUUUUGUUAUUGAUUUUUGAAUAAUUCAUACUUGACUCGAGAAAACGCAGAACUAAGUUUAAAAACAUAGUCCUUCAUUAAUAUUUUAUUCAUCAUUUUAACCCAUUUGAAUUCGAACAGUCUUUUUAUUGAUAUUUUGCUCAUCACAAGAAAAUGCAUGUCUACGUUUAAAGAAUUUAUAGUGUAUUUAAUGCAAACAAUCAAUUCAAGUAAUAAAAAGAAAAAAAACAUAUAAUCAAUAUUCAUUACUAAUAUUCAAUCAAAUAAACACAGCUAGUUAAACACAAGUCAAAUUGGACAUAAUUAUUUAAGUCUCAUUCUAUAUACACAAUUUGAUAGGAGAAAAUGUAAAUUUAAGUUCAGAAUAUGAUUAGGAAGUGAAGUAAAUGUCAUAAUUUGUAGAGAAAUUAUAAACAAAUUUUAAAAAAAUUAGAAGAGUUAAGGUUUUGAUAGUGUAAGGGAAAGUGAAAAUGUUCAAAUUUAUGGUGAUUUUAUCCCUAUUUGAUGGAGAUUAAAGUCAAAUUAAUAGUAAGUUUUGAUAGAAGUUGAAACUUUUUGAGUCCCAUGAAAUAUAUUAUUAAAAUUAAUUGUUAAUUUUGAUUUAAAUUAAAAUUUAGAUUUUAAGUCAUAAAAAUCAUGGCUUCAUUAUAUAUAUUCUCAAAAGUUGGUUGAUCACGUGAUCCCCAUAAAACCCCCCUUCUGUCUGCCCUUGGUCAUCUCUUACCCAUUGAUAAAUCUUGUGUGUUUUGAUCUUCAUGUAAAGAGAAGCGUGGAAGGUAAUAAAUAAGUUACUCGUACAUGUAACAUAUUAAGGUUUUGCAUAAAUUUUUAUAUACUAGGAUCAUGAAUUUAUUAAGAUCUUCUCGUAAAGAGAAGCGUGGAACAUAUUUUAUAUGCAAUAUUGUAUAAAACUAACUAGUAUAAUCAACAAGCUAUCAACUUCUUUUUCUUUUUAACUAUCAAGUUCUUCCACUUAUAAGUUACUUUUUUCUUCUAAAAUCAAGAACCAUUUCAAAUUGCCCGUAAUGAAGAAUACAAAAAAUUUUAACACUUGUUUCCAUAGCUAUGACUAUGCUUCUACGUUAUAAAAGUAUUAAAGGAAAAAGUGUUAACAUCAUUGUUCUACCAUCCACACGCUUUCUAGCCAUUUACACCACCAAGCUCUGCUACUCCAUUACUAAAAAUUCCAAAUGCAUAGCACUUUUCGUCAAGAUCAUACGCCUUAGCCUUCUUAAAUAUUACGAACAGAAACACAAAUUGCUCAUAAUGAAGAAUACAACAAAUAACAUAAGAAUAGCUAAAAUGAUUUUCGAGGAAAUCUUGACCUCCCAAAUAUUGAUUUUCGAGGAACAAUAAACCUCUAAAGCUGGAUAUCAAAAAAAAAAAAAAAAACAUUUACAGAAAUAAUUGAUCACCCUUACUUCAUUUUUUAUUUGAAUUUAAAUAUGAAAAUAUUGUACCCAUUAUCUUCUAAAAUUAGAACCAUUUCAAAAAUAAGAACAUAUAAAAUUAAAACCUGAAAAUGAAGAAAUAAAAUAAAUUACAAAUAUAGAAAUGUACAAUCUUCUUCAUCCAAGAGUUUUGCAAUUCACCAUAUUUGCAAGAAAAUAGAAAACCUAUUUGACUAAAACUGAUAGUAAAAGGACCUAGGGCCAAAAAAAAAAAAAAAAAAAAAAAACUACAAUUAGAAGUUCAAUCGUUCAUCCAUGUAUUUUACUUGAUAUCACUUGAACAAAAAAAUUUAAAUAAAUCAUUUUUUGACAAUUCGUUAAAUAUAUCAUUAAAAAAAUGUUAAAAGGUCGAUCAUUCAACCAUGCAUUUUACUUAAUAUCACUUGAUAAAAAAAAAUUAAAUAAAUCGUUUUCCGACACUUUGUUAGGUAUAUCACAUGAACUUAGAUAAUCUUUAAUUUUCUGGAUUAAUAUGUUUUUGUAAGUUCAAUUGGUUUUUGCUUACGGACCAUGCAUGGACUUUCUCUUUAUAUAUGAAAAAGUCAUCACCUAAUAAUACUAUUUUUCACUCUCCUUUUAAUCUGUGGUAUAUUCUAAUUGCUUCUCUUUUUUGGCAUUCAAGAACUAUGCCAACUUGUACAAUUUGCAGAUCGAAAUAUGAUUUCUAUGACGGUCAAGAGACGAAUGAUUUAUGCACUUUUUUUAGAAACCUAUAUCCGCUGAAUUUUGACACUUCUUCAAUGGCCAAGUAUUUUACCAUUGUGAAACAUUUUUUCGAAAAUAUAGUAAAUUAGUAAUACGGAUUUUAUAAUAGUCAUCCGUCACCCAAUGAUAAAUCUUGUGUGUUUUGAUCUUCAUGUACAGAGAAAUGUAGAAGGUAAUAAAUAAAUUACUAGUGCAUAUAACAUACUAAGGUUUUGUAUAAAUUUUUACAUACUAAGAUCAUGAAUUUUUUAAGAUCUUCUUGUAAAGAGAAGGGUGAAACAUAUUUUGCACGCAAUAUUGAAUAAAACUAAUUAGUAUAAUCAACAAUAUAUCAACUUCUUCUUCUUUUUAAUUAUCAAGGUCUUCCACUCAUGAGUGACUCUUUUCUUCUAUCCUUUGUGGAUUCUAAAGAGAUAUUGCACCACUAUAAGUAAUGAUAUUAAGUUGAAGCGUGACAUAUACAUGAUUUCUCAUAGCUGCAAUUGAAUUUUGCCUAAAUUUUCUUUGCUCAUGUUUUAUACCCAAUAUUGAGCAAGACCAUGCUAAACAAUAGAUAGGUUUUUCUUUCUAAUGAGUGACAUUGCACUGCUAUGACGGGGCCCUUUUUUUUUUCUUUUUUUUUUUUGGGAAGCAAUGUGCAAUAUGCUAAAGCCCAAAAGUAAGUUUGUCCAAAAAAUUGCCUCAAAAUUGGGUACAUGACUUGCCCAAAAUCAGGUUCAAGAAGGCUUCAUCCAGGCUGCACAAACUGUUGCAAAAUCAAGAAGGGUUGCAAACUUUAUCGACCUAAAGGAAGCCUUAUUUGUACCGGAAAGUAAUUUCGAUAUGAGAUAAAUCUUAAAUAAACUAUCAAAUGUUUGUACUACACACACACAAAAUAAAUAAAUGACUCUGCUAUGUUUCUGUGAAAGGAAAUACAAGGUUCAGGUUUAAUUAUAUUGUUGGAUAUUUCUAUGAAAUUAUCUUUUACAUAAUUACUUCUCUAAAUUUAUUGGGUGAGAUUUAGAUGUUGUAUACUCUCUUAUAUUGAUCUACAAUAGCGAAGAGUUGUUGUGGAAACAGUAUAUACCAUAUAAUAAAUGGGGACACUAGAAAAAUUGAGUCGGAAUAAGAGAUUAUGCACCUAGAUCUCUUGAAGAUAAAAUUUGCCCCUAGCACAUAGAGGUAUGGAGAAUAUACAUUUUCGAAAAGAGAAUAAACAUCCAAAAAUGGCAAAAUCCCAAAAUUAUACCAAAAUAAAAUAUUUAGUAAAAGAAGUAAGUUGCCAAAAAUUUGGCUCAAUUCGAGUUUUCUAACAUAUGGAAAAAAGGAAACAAAAUAUUACCAUAAAUAGUAAAAAAUAACUUAAAAUUGAAUUUUGGAAAGGAAAACAGUGGAUUUUGGACUCGAAAUUGACGUCUCAGUGGCCAUGACGUGCGUGCCGAAGAGAGCUUUCCAAAUUGAGGUCAUAAUAGCGAUUUCAAUAAUCGUAGCCAAAGUUAUGGCCAAAUUACCAAAGACGCGUCAAAUUCUCCCAAUUUAAGGAAAUAAUGGUGAUUCACUUUCCAUCUUUGCGCCGAUCCGCCAUCUCAUGGUAUCCCAGCGCCAUCAUCGUGCUAUCUGACAAAUCAGCAUCACUCGACUCGGAUCCUCCUGCAUCAAUUAUUUAUUUAUUUUAAAGUUGAAAAGUGAUAAAAAAAAGUUAUUGUAAGAUGCAAAACAGUAAUUAAUAUAAAAAACUGUUUUACUUGAUAUCUUAUUUUAUUCGUCAAACAAUGUUGGGAAAUAAAAUGUUGGGGAAAAAAAAUCAAAGUAAUAUAUAUUUUUCUAUAUUUUUUUAAUACGUAAAUAACUCAGUAAAUUUAUUUUUGUUCAUUGAAACACUGGAGCUCGAGGAGAAUGAGAAUAAUAAAUUGUAUAUAUCUCACACAAAAGAAGACCAUACUAUGAAGAAAAAUUAUUUAAAUAAUACAUUACGAUUUCCAAUAAAUUAAAUUUAAUAUGAAGAUAUAAUCUUUUAAUUUUUCAUUUUGAUUGAAGACUUAUUUUUAAUUAAUAAUCCGUGGUAAUUGAAUGAUUCCAUACUUCUCGUUUGAAUGAUUGAUCACCGUUUAUAUGAAUAUAUAACUUAUUUUAUUUUUGGUAGUUUCGAAAUAGAUCUAGCUUAUUGUGGUAAUCAGAAUAAGAUCAUCUAGCCAUUAGGGAUUAUUAUUUAUGCCUUAUGCAAUUUAUAUUGAUUAUCUUUUGACUGAAUGCAUUUUUUGUUACUCAAAUUCUAGAUACGGAUAUCUCGGGAGAGAUUGUUAAAUGUUAUAGGAUUAUUGUUUAUAAAUGUGCACAUAUCAGGUUAAAAGAGAGCAGUCGAAGAUUAUAACGAAUGUUAAUGGUGAAGUCGGACUCCUAGUAAGUUUUCUCAUGCAAAACUCUUUCAUCUUGAUCUUCAUUUUUAUUUUGAUAGUUGAUUGUAGAGUAAUUAAUCGAUUCAUAUUAUAUUUCAUCUAAACCCUUGUUACAUUUGUUUAUUCGUUUUUUAGCACAAAUUGAUAAAUUUGAACUAAAGUCUAAAUUCUCAUGGAAACGAGAAUUUUACUCAUUUUGUAAUAUUAUUUGUUGGUGAUCCAGUACGCUUGCAUGAUUUGACAUAGCUUUGUCCAUUAUGUUUCAAAAGCAGUAAAUAUAAAAGUGGAAAAAUUAUUUUUCCCUCAUUUCAAAGCACACAAAUAGAAGAAAAUUUAUUAUAAAGGAUUAGACAUACUAACUAAUAGAGGGUUAAAGAAAAGAACUCGACGAAAUAUAAUGCAAUUAAAGUGUGAUGUAACAAGUAAAAAUAUAGUGUAAAAAUAUUUCUCUUGUAUAGAAUCGUUCGAAAAUUUUUGGAUUUAAUUUUUUUCCAUGGCGCCAUGAUAAAAAAAUAUUAUUGAGUUGUUAAGAGGUUGUUAAGCUAUUCACAAUCAAAUUGAAAGUUUCAAAUAUUGCUUAUUUGGCAAUAAAAAAUUUUAACACUUGUUCCACAUAGCAAUGGCAAUGCUUUAUAAAAGUAUUUUAAGGAAAAAGUGUUAACAUCAUUGUUCUACCAAGUACCAUCCACACGCUUUAGCAAUUCACAUCACUAAACAAAAUUGUAGAAAAGAGAAUAAACAUCCAAAACAGUAACUAAAAAAAUAACAAAAUGAUUUCCAAUUUUUUUUUUUUUUUUUUUUUUAAAGUUGCAAAAUGAUAAGAAGCUGAUAACCGUAACUAUAAUGGAUAAAAAAAUUAUUGUAAGAUGCAAAAUAGUUAUUAAUAUCAAAAACUGUUUUACUUGAUAUCUUAUUUUAUUCGUCAAACAAAGUUCAUUAAUCAAAUUAAAAAUUUCCAUUUGUCUAUUCACAAUGUCGGGAAAAAAACUCAAAGUCAUAUAGAUUUUUCUAUAUUUUUCAUUAAGUAAAUAAAUUACUAAUUAUUUUUGUUCAUUGAGAAACUGGAGGCUCAAGGAGAUGGAGAUAAUAAAUUGCAUAUAUCUCACACAAAAGAAGACCAUAUUAUGAAGAAAAAUUAUUUAAAUAAUACAUUACGUCUUCUAAUCAAUUAAAUUUAAUAAUAAUUUAUAUAAUAGUUAAAACAAACAUGAUGUAAAAAUAAGUAAUAUAUAGUGUGAUCAUUUUUAACAAGGGUGCGUUCAGCUGUUUAUGAUGACAAACUUGUUGACUUAUCUAUUCCUUUUCAAUGAUAAUGGUUUCUUUUGUUACACAAAGUAGAAGGUAAUAUGUAGAGUAACAAGACAAGAUGUUAAAGUGUAAAAACACCACAAACGCAUGGUAUUUAUAAAGUAGUGUGACAAAAUAAUUUGACGAGCCGUUUAUAUGUAUAUGUGAUCAUUUGCAGCUACCAUGGAGAAUUGCAAAGCUAAUUCCUAAAAGGGUUGGUGAGAGAAAAGGAAAUAAAUGCUACAAUUUGUUGACCAAUGUAAAAAUAAUAAUAAAAAUAAAGUCCACGAACUCCAUUGUAGAAAGGACAAGUAUUGCGACUUUUGUAUAAUCAGUAAAUCUAUCACUUGUUGAACAAGUUAUAUGGAGGAUCAUAGAAUGAGUCCUAAGUUCAAAUUCCCACUAUUAUAUCAUAAAUAAAUAAACAAAAUAUUAUAUUCCUUAAACCAAUCUAGUAUAAUUAAAUCCGCUAUAUCAAUACGCAAUAGUAAUUUAAUUUUUUGUCGUAAUAGUUUGAGAAAAUAUUGCUUCUAUAAUUGAUUUUUUGAGGCCAUAUUGUGACUUGUUUAACUAAAGCAUCUCCACCGCUAAUAUGGCUUGCGCUAAAAUGGUUUUCACAUAAACUAAAAUCGAUAAUUUCUACAAAAGUACACCUCUAAUACAAAAUUUCAAGAACUAUGUCUAGCUGACGUAGAAGUAUAUAUGGUCAAGAUGACAAUCUAGGUGCAUACGGUCUUUUAGAUAGAGCGAGUAUCCACAAUUUAAUAUUUCUCUCUUUAUUUCUCUCUCCUUUUCCCUAUUUUUCUGUCAUCAUUGUUUUUCUCUCUCUCCUAUGAUAUAUACUUUAGUGAUGAAAUUUGAUUAUAGAAAAAAUUCAUUAAAGAUGAAAUUUGAACGAGGUCAUCUAUUCAUUAGAUCUUAAUGUCACAUAUAUGAAAGCCAUCUUAUUUAGAUCCAUGAAUAUAUUAGAGAACCUCAAAGAUUCCUUACUGUUUGCAAAAAUUACCGAAUUAGCGUUUUCAAUCUAUUGCAAUCUUCUGGAGGCAAAUAUAAGUGGACUGUAAAUGCUUUAAGGAUUACAUUUUUCAUGUAAAAUUUGCAUCGGAAAAUUUUGAAUUAGAUUUCUUUAUUUUAAUCUUUUGGAGGAAGGGCUUUACAUCUCCUAUUCAUAAUAAGAUUUCAAUGAAUAUACAGUUUUGUGCAAGGCUGAGCAUCCCAUCCCUGUUUUGGUUAGAAACCCUGAAACUGUAAAUGGAUUUUAUCUUUAAAAAAAUAAAAAAUAAAAUAAAAUAAAAUAAAAAUUCAAUCUCUCUGUCCAAACUCUCGACAUAUUCAACUUGAAUAAAAAUGUUUACAUAUUUCUUAAUAUUGGCUUGCAAGUUAACGUGCAAUUAAAAGAUUGUUCGUUAAUCCAUGUAUUUAAUAAGGCGUGAGGCACGGUAAGAUGGCAAGUGCGCAGCUUCAAGUGUCAGCUAAAUUUUUUAUAGAAUUCUUUCUCGAGCAUUUCUUUUGUUCUUUGUUUCUUGUCUGUUGUAGUUACAUAACUGUAGCUUCAUUGAAGGGUGUUGGAAAAUUGUAAUAAUUAGUUGGUUUGACCAACUUUUGACCAAUUAUUUAAAUAGGUCCUGUUAGUUGGAUAAAUGAUUUAUUUGGACAAGUACAUUCUACUCCAUAAGUAGAAUUGAUAUAUGUACUUAUUUCUCAAAACUAAUUAAGGGUGAAUGAGAAAUUAAAGCCAAAAGAUGACCACAUGAAGUUGAAAUAAAUUGGAAAUAAAAAAUUGGCGGGAAAUUGGAAAGUGCCAAUCUCACAUAGGAAACUAGAAGAAUAGAAACCACUUUAUAUAACUCAAGUUAAGAACUUGGGUUUGGGCCACAAGGGGUAUCACAAGUCUUUAGAGAAGAGAGGACCUACAUGUUAGUAGGUUCAGCUAAAACCCAUAUGCUAAAAUAAUAUUUUAUUAUAUUAUUUAUUUUUUUCUUCUUCGAAUUUUCUGUGCAAGACACAUAGAUUCUUCUAGAAACUGGCGAUUGGUGAUAGUUUAACUGUCUGUCCAAAUGGAUUAUGUCUAUUCCGAGACACAACCUUUCGGCUGUUGUGUCUUUUGGGCACAACCUUUCAACUUCUAUAAAUAGACCCUAGAUCCCCGAUUUUUAUUCACUCCAAAAAUUUGUUUUACUUUCCUUCUCCUGCAAUAUAGUCUUUAUGUCCUACAAUUUUCAUAUAUUUGCAUUUUAGUUCCAAAUAUUAUUUUCGUGCAUUUUAGUCCUCCUAUUAUCGAGAGAUCAAAUAUUAGUAGGUUCAUCGGGUCUUGUAAUUUGGAGUGCUACUAUUACAAGUUGAGGUCGUUGUAUAUUGGGAUACGAGUGCCAGGAGACGAACAGCACCAGUGCGGGGCAUUUUCGUCUUAAGGAGAAAUAGUCGAACUCUUGACUCGAUCAUUAUUCAUUCUAGUUUAUUCCGCAAAUUUGUGUAAGUCGAAAUUCUGCUAUUUAUUUUUGUAAAUUACCGCACGACAUUCUCGAAGAUUUUCAACAAUCUUAAGACGAAAUUUUUUUUAUUUACAUGCUAAUUUAUAUUCUGAAAUUUUGUUAGACUAUGGCAAGUAACAAUACAUCCGUCGUACCCCCAAACAAUGCUCACGGGGAGGAACCAGAAAAAUUCACAUGAGUGGAUUUUAAAAGAUGGCAAUAGAAAAUGUUGUUUUAUCUCACAACUCUGAAUUUAGAAAAAUUCUUGAGUGAAGAUGCUCCAACUGUUGAGGAGGAAGAAACAUAUUCUAAAAAACGAGCAGCAUUUGAUGCAUGGAGUCAUAGUAACUUCUUGUGCAGAAACUAUAUCCUCAAUUGUCUUGACAACACACUAUACGGUGUAUACAGUUCAGUCAAGACAGCCAAGUUACUGUGGGAAUCAUUGGAAAAGAAGUACAAAAUGGAAGAUGCCGGAUUAAAGAAAUUCGUUGUGGGCAAAUUCCUAGAUUUCAAGAUGAUAGAUUCUAAAACAGUGAUGAAUCAAGUCCAAGAGCUGCAAAUCAUAUUGCUUGAUAUACAUGCAGAAGGUAUGAAGCUCAGUGAGUCAUUUUAGGUCGCCGCUAUUAUCAAGAAUUACCUCCAAUGUGGAAAGAUUUCAAGAACUACCUGAAACAUAAACAUAAGGAAAUAAGACUUGAAGAUCUGAUUGUAAGAUAAAGAAUUGAAGAAGAUAAUCAAAAUUCUGAGAAGAAGUCUAGAAAGCUACAUAUGAAAUUUGGUGGAGCCAAAUACUAGCAAGAAAAGAAAACACUUAGGCAAUGGCAAGCAAAAAAAUAAGGAGGCUAGGUGGUGGAUUUAAACCUAUCAGUAAAGGCUCCCAACCUCGUGAGGUGAAUAUGGCUACUAGGUUAGGCGGUAGGUUAGACAGGGUGACCUCACGCUCUACUAGGACCGAACGUAAAGAAAACUGACUCCCAAAAACUUCCCGAGCAAUCAAAGAGAUAAACUUAGAUCGAUUAUAAAAUGUCACCCACUAACAGGCUGAGUAGCAGUCCUAGCCUUCUUAGGUGGCAUCUGACACAAAUAACAGUGGCAGCUGAUCAAGGACAAAAGCUAAGCAGAAUGGAUGGAACACAAAAUGAAGCAAAAUCAUGUCAAGCACGCAAAUCGAUGCAAAGCAGUGUAAUGCAUGCAAAAACCAUGCAAAACGAAGUAACAUAGUAUAAGGCAUGCAAUACCAUGCAAAAGAUGCAAAAGCACACAAAAUAAUGCAACAUAGUGUAAUACACGCAAUACUAUGCAAACCAUGUAAUAAUUUUGCAAAAUGAUACAAAAUAGAGGAAGGCAUGCAAAACUAUGCAACUAAGCGCGAUGACAUGAACUAAGUGACGUGAGUGUAAGGAAUAAGUGACAUGACGCGCUGUCAAGACGCAGGUGGCAAGAUGUCACGACAUGGCCUACAUGACUUGGACACACCAUGUCAAGGGUGGAAUGGUGAUUAAGACCCAAGAAGAUCUAUAGUUGACUGGGACUAAGACUAUGAUAGUAGUGUACGUGGUGUGUAGUGAAGAGAACAUUCAUCAAACAAGUGGUGAGCAUGAGAAAAUGGUGAAAAAUCUACACUUUACAAUAGUUCCAAUAUAUCCACCAAGCGCCAAUGUGUAUUCUAACAUUCCCACAUCAAGUCUAUGUAAAGAGAAUGUAUCCCAAUGUAGCUAAAAAAAAAAAAUGAAAACGAAAAAGAAAUGCAAAAGGAUAAUGCCAAUCACAUUGUAAUGCCAAAGAGAAAAUCCUCCCAAUGGUCACUGAACUUUGUAGAAAAUCUCCUAGGAGGUCAUCGAACUUCAAUAUGUCCCUAAAUAGUCACUGAGCUUUGUCGAAAUCUCCCAAGAGGUCAUCGAACUUCAAAACAUCCCUAAAUGGUCACUGAAAUUUGUUGAAGUCCCCCUAAGAGGUCACUCAAUAUUGCAAAUUGGGAUCCCAUACAUAACUAGUUUAGUUAUCUCCCAGGGACUUUUUACAAAGUUCAGUGACCAUUCAGGGACAUUUUAAAGACCUCUUAAGAGACUUCGACAAAGUUCAGUGACUAUUUAGAGAAGUAUUGAAGGUCGGUGACCUGCUAGGGAAUUUUCUGCAAAGUUCAGUGACCAUUGGGAGAUUUCCUCUAAUGCCAAAUGAGCAAGCAAGGUAGACGCCAUGGUGGAAUUCUAAUCACAAUAGCUUAAAUGGAUGAUGUUGGAUGCACAAAAUGACAAGAAUUGUGAAAGAAUCUAAAAAUCCCCAAAAGAAACAAAAAAUUUGGUGAGUUAGGGUUGCCAAUUAUACCUUCGAAGAUAGUGUGAAUGUGAAGAUGAAAUGGCGCUAAUUUUGCACACAAAUGAUGAAAUCUAGACCAAAUCACUGAUGUGAGGGAAAAAACGAGAGAGCAAGGAAGAAGACAAGGAGAAAAUGAAGAAAGAAAUCGCGCUUCGCUUGAGCGAGAAGCGAGGGAGGAGAUUGUAUUAUUAUCACUCGAUCGAAAAUCAAGCGAGAAUCAAGCAAGACUCAAAUCACACAAAUAGCACCAAUGCACUAAAAUUUAGAAAAUUGGCACCAAUUUGAAAAUUUUGAUUUUUAGGACAACAUACCUUUUUUUUGGUAAACAAAAUACUACAAACAUGGCAUGCACUACAUGUAUGUCCACCCAAAUUAGUAGUUAAUCACACAUAUGACAUGCUCAAUGAUUAGAAGCACAUCCCCACACACAUAGAAUAAGUUCAGAUGGAGUAAAUUAUAUAUGUGACCCACAUGUAAAAAAUGCGACUAAUUUUAAGUGUCUCGAACCUAAAACCAUCUAAAGCUUUAGUAAACAGAUUGGCAAGUUGAUUUUCUAUAGAAAUAUGUUCUAAGGAUACCAUAUUAGACUCAACAAGCCCUCGAAUGAAGUGAUGAUGGAUGUCAAUAUGUUUGGUAUAAGAAUACUGAACAGGAUUUCUGGAGAUGUUGAUAGCGCUAGUGUUAUCACAGAACACCGUUAUGGUACCUUGAUUUAUCCCAUAAUCACUCAGCAUUUGUUUCAUCCAAAGCAAUUGAGUGCAACAACUACCGACUGUAAUGUAUUCUGCCUUGAAUGUAGACAGAGAGACUGAGUUUUGUUUCUUACUCAUCCAUGACACAAGAUUAGAACCAACAUGGAAACAUCUACCCGAGUUACUCUUUCUAUCAUCGUCAUUUCCAGCCCAAUCAACAUCAGAAUAGUCGUGCGAGAUCAAUAUUAGACUCUCUAGAAUACAAGAUCCCAUGAUUUACGCUCUCAUUAAUAUACCUAAUGAUACACCUUACUGCACUCAAAUGGAAUUUCUUAGGAGCUGCCUAAAAUCUCUUAUACACUCCAACACUGAAUGCUAUGUCAGGUCCACUGGCUGUAAGGCAGAGUAAGCUACCUAUCAUAUUCCUAUACAAUAUCUGAUCAACAUUCCUACCUGUAGAAUCAUGACCUAACUUAACACUCAUGCUCAUGGGUGUCUUCGUAUGUUUUUGACUAUCCAAUCUGCUGACCACUGAACUCCGAUCUCAUCAGAAAUGAUUGCAGGCCCCACCUCAUGCAGAUGUGAGUUCGGCUAAGAUCCUCAGAUUGAAUUUGUUGUCAUAAUCUCAGGAACAUCAUGAUUAUCCCUUGUCACAUCAACCUCUUAAAUUAACACAUUCAUCAGGAAUGACAUAAUCGUUGCCCAUGGCCACCAAUCCCUAGCUCGAAAUCUCCAAGUUGCCUGAGGGUCAUCAUUACCUGAGGAAAACAUUGACACGUGGCCACCAGCCUCAUCGACCAAUCAUAGGAGAGUUUGAUUUCCAAGUUUCGAGCUCGAUACUAUAACUGAUUUGAGGUAAUUUCAGCUGAAAAUAUGUAUAAAUAGUAAAGGAAUUGUUACCAUAAAGACAAGUGAAUUCAUAUGCAAACCCAUUACAUGAUUACAUUUUCUCAAUUGAUUUGGGACCCAUUUAGCUAUAAAUCGUCAUUUUUCUUAAAGUUGGCUCAAGAUCAGUCAUACAAAUUUUGAAGUCAAUAGUUUGGCACUAGAAGGAGGGCCCCAAUUGUAAAAAAUAGCCUUAUUUCCCCACAAAAUUUGAGAGCCAUGAGCCAUAGUUUUAGUUCUAGAAAUCCAUCUCAUACCUACCCUCAUGAAACUAUUACUCCAUCGAGUUCUCCAAGAUGACAAGACCCACAGAUGACCGCCAUGAGGGAAGCCCUGGAAAAAUUAACAGAUGCAGUGGGAUUAUUGGAACGGAUUCAAGCCCAAUUGUCUCCACCAGAUACCAAAGUGGAAUCCCCUGCAAGGACAAGGGCAAGACGUCUCUCCACUAGGAGGAUCCUCCACUUUUCAAGAGGAGAAUCCUUAAGAAGCCGAGUUGAUGAAGUUAGGAGUAAGGAUCCCACGGCAAGGAGGACUGGUAGUGUGUUUGACAGGUUGAGGACCCAACACUCACUGACCCCCACGCGAGGAUAAGCUGAAUCCAACCUUAAACAUCCUCUGGAAUAGGCAGAACCCAAACGGAGCACAGUGAAAAGACGCAUCGCUAACCUAGAGGCAAAAAAUAGAGGAGGCACUGAAGACUACCUCACCAAGCGACAUUCUCCCUAUACAGAGGACGUCCUUAUGGAUCCUUUACCUGAAAAAUUGAAGAUUCCCCGGAUGACCGCAUAUGAAGGAUACGGGGAUCCUCUCUGCCACCUUGACAAAUACACCUCAUGAACGGAACUGCAGGGGGCAAGCGAUGCCACCAUGUGCUGAACUUUUCCACUGACCCUAGUAGACAAAGCACAGAGAUGGUUGAGGAGACUGCAUCAGAAGUUGGUAAAAAAUUGGAAAACCUGGCCAUAACAUUCUUAGCCUAGUUUAUGGGCUCUAAAGCUAGAACCACGCCCAAGAAGCGGCUAGUGAGUAUUAAGUAGAGAAAAAGUGAAUCCUUUAAAAUCUAUAUGAGUAGAUUCAAUAAACAAUCCAUGGAAGUGGAAAAAAUAUCUGAUGAUGCCCUACUCAUGGCCGUACUGGCUAGAUUGAGGCCCAGAACAGGAUUCUGGUGGUCGGUACACGAGGAGGGCCCAAGAACUUAUCACAAGUUCUUGAACCAAGCUGAGAAAUACAUAAGUUCUGAAGAAGCAACCUCUGAUCAAGAGGAAACCAGAUGUGAUCCCGACCUCAAUAAUACGACGAAAGAGAAAAAGUUUAAUAACCGCCCCCAGCUCAAAAGGAAGAAGGAUAGAAGAGAAAAAGAUUGUCCUAAGGCUUAGCCGUACAGGUUUCGAGAGUACCACCACUCAAAGCUUCCUUCGAAGAGGUAUUCAUGCAAACUAGUAAGAAAGAGGCAUUUCGAAGGCCAGUGGUCCCAAAGAACAGGCAGAUAGGACACCAAGAAGGACGAUACUGUCGAUAUCACAAGAUGGCAGGUCAUGACACUGACAACUGUUGAGAAUUGAAGAAGGAAAUUGAGUCCUUAAUUCAUAGAGGUCGAUUACAAGAAUUUGUUGCCAAAACAAAAGAAGUAGAUUGACCUCAAUCGUAAUCGCUUUUGUAGUAGGGGCCACCCGCACAAGCUUAGCAAGCGGUUCCUAAUCAUAAUCCACCCCCACAUGCCGAAAUUAAAAUGAUGGUCGGAGAAAACCAGUAUGUUGAAAGAUCUAGAAGGGCGAGACAAAGACAAGCCCGAAAUGCACGGAUCAUGUCAAACUUUGGGGAGAAAACCCCGUAGAUCGGUAUAGACCCUGAAUGGUUCUGGUUCACCGAGGAAGAUUCCUAAGGAAUCUUUCAAGAUCAAAGCGAUGUCCUAGUGAUCACCAUACCAGUUGCCAGGGUAAAAGUUCAUAGGACAUUGGUAGAUAAUGGAAGUUCGGUUAACAUACUGUAUUCACGAACUUUGAGUCAGUUGGAAAUCUAUCUUGAACCAUACUCAAGGAAACUACAGGGAUUCUAAGAAAUACUAUCGAAGCCCCGAGGUCAGAUCGUCCUUGUUGUAGAACUGGGCAAAGCUCCUCACCAAAGAAGGAUCCUGGUAGAUUUCAUAGUAAAAUUAUUUUUGUUCAUUGAAACACUGGAGCUCGAGGAGAAUGAGAAUAAUAAAUUGUAUACAUCUCACACAAAAGAAGACCAUAUUAUGAAGAAAAAUUAUUUAAAUAAUAAUUACGGUUUCCAAUAAAUUAAAUUUAAUAACAAUAUAUAUAAUAGAAGACAUAAUCUUUUAAUUUUUCAUUUUGAUUGAAGACAUAUUCUUUUAAUUAAUAAUCCGCGGUAAUUGAAUGAUUCCGUACUUCUUCUCGUUUGAAUGAUUGAUCACCGUUUAUAUGAAUAUAUAACUUAUUUUAUUUUUAGUAGGUUCGAAAUAGGUCUAGCUUAUUGUGGUAAUCAGCAUAAGAUCAUCUAGCCAUUAGGCAUAUUUAUUUAUGCCUUAUGCAAUUUAUAUUGAUAAUCUUUUGACUGAAUGCAUUUUUUGUUACUCAAAUUCUAGAUACGAAUAUCUCGGGAGAGAUUGUUAAAUGUUAUAGGAUUAUUGUUUAUAAAUGUGCACAUAUCAGGUUAAAAGAGAGAAGUUGAAGAUUAUAAUGAAUGUUAAUGGUGAAGUCGGACUCCUAGUAAGUUUUCUCAUGCAAAACUCUUUCAUCUUGAUCUUCAUUUUUAUUUUGAUAGUUGAUUGUAGAGUAAUUAAUCGAUUCAUAUUAUAUUUCAUCUAAACCCUUGUUGCAUUUGUUUAUUCGUUUUUUAGCACUAAUUGAUAAAUUUGAACUAAAGUCUAAAUUCUCAUGGAAAUGAUAAUUAUUCUCAUUUUGUAAUAUUAUUUGUUGGUGAUCCCGUACGCUUGCAUGAUUUGACAUAGCUUUGUUCAUUAUGUUUCAAAAGCAGUAAAUAUAAAAGUGGAAAAAUUAUUUUUCCCUCACUAACUAGUAGAGGGUUAAAGAAAAGAACUCGACAAAAUAUAAUGCAAUUAAAGUGUGAUGUAACAAGUAAAAAUAUUUCUCUUGUAUAGAAUCGUUUGAAAAUUUUUGGAUUUAAUUUUUUUCCAUGGCGCCAUGAUAAAAAAUAUUAUUGAGUUGUUAAGAAGUUGUUAAGCUAUUCACAAUCAAAUUGAAAGUUUCAAAUAUUGCUUAUUUGGCAUUAAAAUUUUUUAACACUUGUUCCACAUAGCCAUGACUAUACUUCUACGUUAUAAAAGUAUUAAAAGGAAAAAGUGUUAACAUCAUUGUUCUACCAAGUACCAUCCACAGGCUUUAGCAAUUCACACCACCAAACAAAUUUGUAGAAAAGAGAAUAAACAUCCAAAACAGUAACUAAAAAAUUACAAAAUGAUUUCCUUUUUUUUUUUUUAAGUUGCAAAAUGAUAAGAAGCUAAUAACCGUAACUAUAAUGGAUAAAAAAAAAUAUUGUAAGAUGCAAAAUAGUUAUUAAUAUCAAAAACUGUUUUACUUGAUAUCUUAUUUUUUUUCGUCAAACAAAAUUCAUUAAUCAAAUUAAAAAUUUCCAUUUGUCUAUUCACAAUGUCGGGAAACAAAUCAAAGUCAUAUAGAUUUUUCUAUAUUUUUCAUUAAGUAAAUAAAUUACUAAAAUUAUUUUUGUUCAUUGAAAAGCUGGAGGCUCAAGGAGAUGGAGAUAAUUAAUUAAUUGUAUAUAUCUCACACAAAAGAAGACCAUAUUAUGAAGAAAAUUUAUUUAAAUAAUAUAUUACGUCUUCUAAUAAAUUAAAUUUAAUAAUAAUAUAUAUAAUAGUUAAAACAAACAUGGUGUAAAAAUAAGUAAUAUAUAGUGUGAUCAUUUUUAACAAGGGUGCGUUCAGCUGUUUAUGAUGACAAAUUUGUUGACUUAUCUAUUCCUUUUCAAUGAUAAUGGUUUCUUUUGUUACACAAAGUAGAAGGUAAUAUGUAGAGUAACAAGACACGAUGUUAAAGUGUACAUACACCACAAACGCGUGGUAUUUAUAAAGUAGCGUGACAAAAUAAUUUGACGAGCUGUUUCUAUGUAUAUGUGAUCAUUUGCAGCUUACCAUGAAGAAUUGCAAAGUUUAUUCCUUAAAGGGUUGGUGAGAGAAAAGGAAAUAAAUGCCACAAUUUGUUGACCAAUGUAAAAAUAAUAAUAAAAAUAAAGUCCACAAACUCCAUUAUAGAAAGGAUAAGUAUUGCGACUUUUGUACAAUCAGUAAAUCUAUCACCUGUUGAACAAGUUAUAUGGAGGAUCCUAGAAUGAGUCCUAAGUUCAAAUUCCCACUAUUAUAUCAUAAAUAAAUAAACAAAAUAUUAUAUUCCUUUAACCAAUCUAGUAUAAUUAAAUCCGCAAUAUCAAUACGCAAUAGUAAUUUAAUUUUUUCUUGUAAUAGUUCGAGAAAAUAUUGCUUCUAUAAUUGAUAUUUUGAGGCCAUAUUGUGACUUGAUUAACUAAAGCAUCUCCACUGCUAAUAUGGCUUGCGCUAAAAUGGUUGUCACAUAAACUAAAAUCGAUAAUUUCUACAAAAGUACACCUCUAAUACAAAAUAUCAAGAACUAUGUCUAGCUGAUGUAGAAGUAGAUAUGAUCAAGAUGACAAUCUAGGUGCAUACGGUCUUUUAGAUAGAGCUAGUCACUACAAUUUAAUAUUUCUCUCUUUAUUUCUCUCUCCUUUUCCCUAUUUUUCUGACAUCAUUUUUUUUCUCUCUCCUAUGAUAUAUACUUUAGUGAUGAAAUUUGAUUAUAGAAAAAAUUCAUUAAAGAUGAAAUUUGAACGAGGUCAUAUAUUCAUUAGAUCUUAAUGUCACAUAUAUGAAAGCCAUCCUAUUUAGAUCUCACCCUAAUGACAAUCCACGAAUAUAUUAGAGAACCUCUAAGAUUCCUUACUGUUUGCAAAAAUUACUGAAUUAGCGUUUUCAAUCUAUUGCAAUCUUCUGGAGGCAAAUAUAAGUGGACUGUAAAUGCUUUAAGGAUUACAUUUUUCACGUAAAAUUAGCAUCGGAAAAUUUUGAAUUAGAUUUCUUUAUUUUAAUCUUUUGGAGGAAGGGCUUUACAUCUCCUAUUCAUAAUAAGAUUUCAAUGAACAUACAGUGUUGUGCAAGUCUGAGCAUCCCAUCCUUGUUUUGGUUAGAAACCCUGAACCUGUAAAUGGAUUUUAUGUUUAGAAAAAAAAUAAAAUAUAUAUAUAUAUUUUUUUUUCAAUCUCUCUGUCCAAACUCACGACAUAUUCAACUUGAAUAAAAAAGUUUACAUAUUUCUUAAUUUUGGCUUGCAAGUUAAUAUGCAAUUAAAAGAUUGUUCGUUAAUCCAUGUAUUUAAUAAGGCGUGAGGCACUAUAAGAUGGAUGUUAGACAAUUUGUUGUCAAACGAUCUUUCGGGCAAUGAUGUAACCUCGAUUUUAUUUAUUAUCAAUUGACCUUGACCUUAUGAUUGAAUUAUAGUCGACACUAUCAUCGAGAUAACCCAACCCACAUCUCUAUGGACCGUUAGAACCAACCUAUUUUAAUAGUGUUGCUCAUGGUUCGUCCCAUUUACUUGGAGGGCCUAUAGUAUUCAUUUGGAGCCCAUUACCUCAUGUUGAGCCUUGUUUGGACCACUUAGUUUACCUAACCUAACUUACCAUUUUUGGUCACUCAUUUGACUUAUAACCUAUGGCUCCUCUACGCCUCCAUCAUUAAGAAUACUCCAUCUCUUUCUGUGACUUGGAUUCUCGGCCUCUUUCCUUCAUAUAACUUAUGCGGUUUCUCGUGCUAUACAUUUUUCUUCAUCUUGGCCGACUCUUUGUGUGUAUAUAUAUAGCAACCGGAGGUGGGAAAGAAGGAGGUGAAGUUAGGUGUUGUCUCAAUCGAGGUUGUGUCGACAUAUGGUGGAAACUGAGCCCGGUAUCGCCUUGGUUAUUACUGGAAUUUCACCCUACAACUAGUAUCAGAGCGUGGGUCAUCUUCUCCGGCAAGAAAUUGACCAAGAAGGGCGGCGGGUUCACGAUUUCUUCAAAGGGACCGAACCUGCAUCUGCUAUUUCCGGACAAACGGCUGACCUGUAGAAGAAACUGAGGGCAAAUUCAGACUCAGCAAGUCGAGGCACCUCCGGUGGUGAGGCGCGUAGCUACGGCGACCGACGACGGCGCGUGGAGGACCUCCUGCAUGGUUUUUUUGUGCCAUUUCAAUUAUUUUAAUUUCCUAAACGUACUAAUGUGUUUAGUUUAGUGUUUCAGGUUGUGCAGAAAAUUUUGGACGAUUUUGCCCCUGAUUAAAUCUACAUUUGUUGCUGAACGAACUGUUAUAUUUGUUGAAUCUUUAGGGCGAAUAGUAGUGGCCCUAAAGUAGCAAAUUCGCAUCUCUCCAGGCUAUGGACUCAGAUAGGUCCGCUAUAGUAAAUUGGCUGAAAUCUUUAUAUUUUUGCACUAACAGAUAAUCGUGUGGAGUGAUCAUUAAGUUUGGGGAUUGCCAUUGCUUGGCAGUCAUUGCUUAGGCUAGAAUUAGGGUUACGUGCUCUUGAUUAUUUGAUUGAGUAUUUAUCUUUUAGUUAAAUCAAUAUUUGAGCCUCAGUGACAUAACUAUCGUGAAACUAGUUAUCUGUUAGACGUAUCUUUUAUUGCAUUGUUACUUCCGCUGCUCACUUAUUCCGUUAGAACUACCGUGACCUUACUCAUUCGAACAUUCCCUUGAUCUAAGACCACGAGUCUUACGAAACCUUGGGAAUUUAGAACGGUGUAUGCAGUCUGUGACCCUAGGACUACUUUGUGUGGUUUGAUUGUGUGUUUUUGUGCUCUUUAACUACUGUGUAAAGAUGACAACUCACAACUUUGAUUUGGAAAUUUUUAAUGGAAAGGGUGAUUUUGCUAUAUGGCAACAAAAAAUGAAGGGUAUUUUAAUCCAAAAAAAAGUUUCAAAAGCCAAUGAAGCCAAUUUUUCAACUGAUUUUUCACAAGAACAAAGAGAAGAAGCCGAUGAGCUUGCUUAUACCUUAAUCAUUUUAUACUUGUCUAACAUCAUUUUAAGAAAUGUGGGUGAAUUGAAAAUCACUAAAGAACUUUGCAAAAAAUAAAAAGACUUGUAUUUGCUCAAGUCUACACCGAAUAAACUUUACGUGCUCGAACGUUUUUUUAGUUUUAAAAUGGAUCUUUCAAAGGAUCUCGAUGACAAUUUAGACAUGUUUAACAAAUUGGUGUAAGAUAUAGUUAAUUGUGAUCAGGGUGUCCGAAACUUAUAAGGCUAUAAUUUUGCUUAAUGCAAUUCCUGAUUCUUAUAAGAAAGUUAAGAAUGCCAUUAAGUAUGGUAGAGACACGUUGACAACUGAAAUUGUCAUAGAUUUCCUAAGAAGUAAAGAAAUGGAAAUUAGGGCUGAAAAACACGAUAAGAGGAACGGUGAGGUACAUAUGAUGCGAGGUAAAACUCAAUUUAGGCAAAAUAGUCAUGAUGGAUAUUAAACUAAUGGCGAGCCAAGUGGUAAUGGAUGGAAAAAGAAGAGCAAAGGUAGGUCUAGAUCAAAAUCUAGGACUAAGGCAAGAAAAUAUUAUGGUUGUGGAAACAAGGGGCAUUUUAUAAAGGAUUGUCAUAAGGAGAAGGGUAAGCUAAAGAUUUAGGGGAGAGAUGAGGUCAAUGUGUUAGCAUUUACUUUCGAUAUAAAUGGUGGUGAGGUCUAUAUGAUUACAAGUCCCGUUGCAUAUACUGCUGAAUUAAAUCUACCUAUUAAUUCCCACAUGCAUGAGUAGAUACUUGACUCUGGCGCAUCUUUUCAUGUGACGUCUAAGAAGAAUUGGUUUUAUAAAUUGCACGAAUCUAUUGUUGGGCAUGUUGUGCUGUGUAAUAACUUUGCCUAUACUAUUGCUGGAAUUGGUGACAUAAACAUAAAAUUUGACACAGGUUUUGUGUACACGUUAAAGGAUGUUAGAUAUAUUCCUGAAUUGUCUAGGAAUCUGAUUUCAUUAGGGAAACUUGAAAAUGAUGACUUUACUAGUAAAAUUGGAAAUUCUAUGCUAAAAAUGAUCAAUGGUGCUUUAGUUUCCAUUAAGUAAAUUAAGAAAAACGAUAUAUAUUUUACCAGUGGGGAAGUGAUUAGAGGUUUGAACUCCUCUAUCUCCUCUGCCAAGAUUGAUCGCACUCACACAUGGCAUAAUAGACUUGCUCAUGUAGGCAUCAAGGGACUUAAGCUACUUGAUGAAAAAUGUGCUUUUGGUAAUGACUAUGUGUCAGAUUUGUCAUUUUGUGAUCAUUGUGUGCUUGGUAAGCAUCAUAAAACUUCUUUAUCCACGAGUGUUAAUAGAUCUAAAGGCAUGCUCGAAUAUGUGCACUCUGAUUUAUGGGGUCCUGCUAGUAAUCCUACAUCGGGUGGGAAUAGGUAUUUCCUGUCUAUUAUCAAUGAUUACACUAGGAAAGUGUGGGUCUAUCUAUUGAAAGAUAAAUCUGAGACUUUUAAUAGUUUUAAUGAUUGGAAGAGACAAGUGGAAAACCAAACUGACAAGAAAAUCAAAAUUUUUAAGGAUAGGUAACGGCCUAGAAUUCUGCAAUAAGGAAUUUGAUAGUAUGUGUAAAGAAAGCAGCAUAACUAGACAUAAGACCGUUCCUUACACUCCUCAACAAAAUGGGGCAGCAGAAAGGAUGAAUAGAACCACACUUGAUAAAGUACAUUGCAUGAUGAUAAGUUCUGGUGCUCCCAAGUCAUUUUGGGGUGAGGCUGUUAUGACUACUUGUUAUUUGAUUAACCUGACUCCUUCUACUACAUUGAAUGGUGACACUCCGCAUGAGAGAUGGUCGGGUAAAUUGAGUGACUACUCGAUGCUUAGAACUUUUGGCUGUACAGCUUUUUCUCAUCAAAGUGAGGGUAAGCUGGAACCUAGAGCUAGCUGGAACCUAGAACUAGGAAGUGUGUCUUUCUAGAAUACCCAGAGGGUGUUAAGGGUUAUAUGUUAUGAGAUAGAAGCCAAAAAGGGGUUAAGAUCAUCAUAAGUAGGGAUGUCACAUUUAACGAGAAUGAAAUGCCGUGUAUUAAAGGGGAAACUGAAACUGAUAGUGAAACUGAACCAGGUGAAGAGAGAGACCCGUUUAAGGUGGAGUUAGGAAAGCUCAGUACACCUGCCCCUAUUGCUCCUAAUGAGGUGGAGAUUCAAGUUCAGGAAUCUGAGGUGGAGAAUAGUAACGAAGUAGUAAUAGAAGAACCCUAUGAGGAAGAAAAUCCUUUAGCUAACUACAACUUAGUUAGGGAUAGAGAGAGGAGAUAAACGAGAGAACCUAGAAGGUUCAUUUUUGAAUAUGAAUUAGCUUUCGCUCAGGCUAGUUGUGAAGAACUAGCUGAUAAAGCGCCAAAAACCUUUGAAGAGGCAAUAGGCAGUGAUCAAUCUAAUGAAUGACUUAAGGCAAUGAAAGAAGAGAUGAAUUCUCUAGAAAAGAAUCACACUUGGGAGCUAGUACCUAGGCUUAAGAACAAAUCAAUUGUUGAUUGCAAAUGGGUUUUUGAGGUUAAGAAAGGUACUAGUAGCUCAGAACCCUUAAGGUUUAAAGCUAAGUUAGUAGCUAAAGGUUACACACAGAAGGAGGGCGUUGAUUAUAAUGAGACUUUCUCACCAGUUGUUAAGUACACCACUAUUAGGGUCAUACUCACAUUGGUUGCACACUUUGACUGGGAACUUGAACAACUUGAUGUAAAAACUAUUUUUUUUACAUGGUGAGCUUGAUGAACAAAUCUUCAUGAAUCAACCAAAAGGUUUUAAGGAUAAGUCAAAACCUGAUUAUGUGUGUUUUCUAAGAAGAUCUUUGUAUGGGUUAAAACAAUCUCCUAGAUAGUGGUACAAGAGGUUUCAUUCCUUUGUACUCGCUAUAGGGUUCCAAAGAAAUAAAUUUGAUCACUGUUUGUAUUUUCAACACAAUGAGACCGAUGAUAAUUAUCUAUUUUUGUUGCUCUAUGUGGACGACAUGCUUUUGAUUGGAUCAUCUUCUAAGUGGAUAAAUAGCAUAAAAGUAAAGCUAAGUGGUGAAUUUCACAUGAAAGUCCUAAGUAAGGCUAAGAGAAUUCUAGGCAUGGAAAUAGAAAGAGAUAGGUCAAAUUCCAUUUUGUUCUUGCAUCAGUCUCCAUACGUAUCCAAAGUAUUGAAGAAAUUUAAUAUGAGUGAUUGCAAACCUAUCACGCUGCCUCUUGCUAAUCUUUUUGUUUUAUCGAAGGAACAAUCUCCUUGCAAUGAUCAUGAAGUAGAAUAUAUGAGUAGAGUGCCUUACUCUAAUUUGAUUGGUUCUAUAAUGUAUUUGAUGGUUUGCACUAGAUCAGAUUUAGGUUUUGCUAUUAGUACUCUCAGUAGAUACAUGGCUAAUCCGGGCCAUGAACAUUGGGAAGUGCUAAAGUGGCUAUUAAAGUACUUGAAAGGUAUAAGUGACGUAAAUUUAAAGUUUAAUGCUAAUAAAGAAGGUAUAAAAUUAAAGGGUUUUGUAGAUGCUGAUUACGCGGGAGAUAGGGAUGGUAGGAAAUCCACUUCGUCUUACGUGUUUACCUUAUCUAAUUCAUGUGUUAGUUGAAAAUCACAGUUACAACAUAUUGUUGCACUAUCUACUAUAGAAUCAGAAUAUAUUGCUACCACUGAAGCUAUUAAAGAAGCUCUAUGGCUUAGAGGCCUACUUCAUGAACUAUAUGUUUUGAAUGAUUAUGUGAUAGUGUAUUCUGAUAGUCAGUCAUCUAUACAUCUGUGCAAGAACCCCGUUUUUCAAGAGCCCACUAAACACAUUGAUAUUAGACUCUACUUCAUUAGAGAUAUAGUAUCUCAAGAGGUGGUAAGACUUGAAAAGGUCCACACCCACUACAACCCUUCCAAUAUGGGGACGAAGAUAUUGCCAUUGACAAAGUUUAGAAGUUGCAAGGAACUUCUAAACAUUGGUACAGGUAAAUGAUGUCCAAUUUUAUUGAUUUUCUAUUAGAGGUGUCACUAAUAGGAGACAUUUUCUUUUGCAGGUCCUUUGAUACCAAGGUAGAGGUUGUUACACAAUUUGUUGUCAAACGACCUCCCGGGCAAUGAUGUAACCUCAGUUUUAUUUAUUAUCAAUUUCCAUUGGCCAUAUGAUUGAAUUAUAUGUCGACACUAUCAUCGGGACAACUCAACCCAUAUCUCUAUGGACCGUUAGAAGCAACCUAUUUUAAUAGUGUUGCUCAUGGUUCGUCCCAUUUACUUGGAGGGCUAUGGUAUUCAUUUGGAGCCCAUUACCUUAUGUUGAGCCUUGUUUUGACCACUUAGUUUACCUAACUAACUUACCAUUUUUGGUCACUCAUUUGGCUUAUAACCUAUGGCUCCUUUAUGCCUCCAUCAUGAAGAAUACUCCAUCUCUGACUUAGAUUCUCGGCCUCUUUCCUUCAUAUAACCUAUGUGGUUUCUCUUGUGCUAUACAUUGUUCUUCAUCUUGGCCAACUCUUUUUGAGUAUAUAUAUAGCAACCGGAGGUGGGAAAGAAGGAGGUGAAGUUAGGUGUUGUCUCAAUCGAGGUUGUGUCGACAUAUGGUGGAAACUGAGCCCAGUAUCGCCUUGGUUAUUGCUAAAAUUUCACCCUACAAUGGCAAGUGCGCAGCCUCCAGUGUCUGCUAAAUUUUUUAUAGAAUUCUUUCUGGAGCAUUUCUUUUGUUCUUUGUUCCUUGUCAGGACUAUGCUGCAGUUACAGAACUGUAGCUUCACAAAAGGGUACCAGAUUACUCACAAUAGGGGGGUUGAGAGAUUUUUUUGGCAUUUUUUAUUCAUGGCUGGGGCCCAUAUGCGUGACUAUCUGGUGCAAUUCUGUGUACAAAUUUUUUAUACAAGUGGCUUUUCCCUUCUUGUCAUAUCUCUUCAGCCACGAAUUGAACCUAAAAUAUGCAAAAACACGCACUCUCAAUAACUAUACGAUCAAGAUGAUAUUCAAAUUUUUUGAUGUUCGUGGCCCUAUAUAAGCGCUAAUUACACUUAUCACCAAACUCUCAAUAUAUUCCACUUAUUCCCAAGUUUUUGUUAAAUAUUCCUUAAUAACCGAAUGUGAGUCAAUUCAUAAUUAAAAGGGUGACUUUAAUCCAUGUAUUUUACUUAAUUGAUUUACUUUAUAAAAAAAAAAAAAGGGGUUCCUUUUCCUACACUUGGUUAGGUAUAUCACGUGAACUUUAAUAAUCUUUAAUGUUGUGAAUUAAUAUGUAUUUGUAAGUUUGAAUUGGUUUUUGCUUACGGACCAUGCGUGGACUUUCUAUUUACAUAUGAAAAAGUCAUCACCCAAUAAUACUGCUUUUACCCUAUAAAUAACUCAAAAUAAUCUGUACUAAGCAUAAUUCAGGAAGCAUGGCUAAUAGCAAAGUUAGCAUCCUUACCCUCCUCCUAAUCUGCGGUAUGGUUACCGAUCUGUGCACUUUUCGUAACUUAUAUUGGUUGAUUAUUGACACUUCUAUGAUGGUCAAGUAUUUUAUCAUUGUGAAACAAUAUUGCAAAAAUACUGUAAUAUAGAUCUUAUGAUAUUAGUUAAGCAGUCAUCUGCUGCCCAUUGGUAAAUAUUGUGUGUUUUGAUAAAGAGAAGCAUUGAAGAAGUUGCUUGUGCAUAUAAAGUAUUAAGGUUUUAGAUAAAUUUUUACAUGUAUGCAGUUGAAUUUAUUGAUCAUUUUCUUUCUGGGCAUUUUUUCCUGAAUUAUUAAGUUUUUCCACUGGUAAGUUAAUCUUUUCUUCAUAUGUUUGUGGAUUCUAAAGCAAUGUUGCAAUACUAUAAGUUAUGCCAUUAAGUUGUAGCAUGACAUAUACAUGAUUUUAUCUUAACUGCAUAUUGAAUUUUCUCGAUAUUUUCUUUGAUCAAGCUUUAUACGCAAUACUAGACAAGACUGAGCUAAACAAUAGGUUUGAUUUCAAUAUUAUGUUUUUCUUUCUAUGACAGCAUUGUUUUUCUUGGGAAGCAAAGUGCAAUAUGCUGAAGCCCAAAGGAAAAUUUGCCCACUAGUUUGCCUCAAAGUUGGCUACAUGACUUGCCCAAAAUCUGGUUCUAAGAAGCUUCAUCCAGGCUGCACAAACUGUUGCAAAGUAAAGAAGGGCUGCAAACUUUAUAGAUCUAAUGGAAGCCUAAUUUGUACUGGAAAGUAAUUGGACAUGCGAUAAAUCUUAAAUAAAUUGUCAUAUGUUUAUGCUAUAAACAGGCAAAAUAAUAAAUGAAUCUCUUAUAAUAAAUCCAAGAUUCAGGUUUAAUUGUAUUGAUGGACGUUGUUUCUAUGAAAUUAUCCUUUACAUAAUUACUUCUCUAAGUUUUUUGGGUGAGACUUAGUUGUUGUAUAAUCUUUUAUUCAUCUACUAGCCACCCACCACCCUCGACCUCCUGCAUAAUCAAAAAAUUGUUGUAAAAACAGAAAUUACACACAGCAUGAUGAGGGAGACUACAAAAAUUCAAACGAA